AGAGCCUAUUGAUAGAGUUGAUGUGGAAAUGAUCAAACUUUUGGGCUUGUGCAACUUGGAAUCCAUGCCAGCUGUUCGAAUGCAUCAUCCACUCACAAACUGGGAUCUAAUAGAGGUCCCCGUCCAGGUGCGCCUCUUUUUCUCUCUCUCUCAUAAGUCUUAAAUAUAUAAUGGGAAAGAAAUGACUGAGUAAUGUUGUGAUGACUGUGGCAAAUACAUAGGGACUGUAUCAACAUGGUAUAUUCAGCACCUUUUUUGUUGGGAAUGAGGUUCCAGGCCUGUUCAGCUAUAAAAGUACCAAGUCCUCGAUAUCUUUUAUUGUCCCUUUACUACUUGCUAGUCACAGAAUUCGAGGCUUGAACAUCUUUGCUACCUAUGCAAAGGAAAAUUCAAAUAAUUAUUCUACUAGACCUAAUAUUGGUCCAAUAAUGAUCAAAGUGAGAAACAAGAGUAAGGGUCUGAAGUGGAUCUAUGACCCAUUUUUCUAUGGAAUCCCAAGUGACGGAGAAGAUAUGAUAUGGUUGAGCCAUUGGAAGAUGGAGAAUAAAACAAUAUUACAAUGUGGAGAUGAAGUGGUGGUUUCGGUAAUAACUGGACCACGUGACAUGUUUUGGGUCAAGGAGUUUGGUGUCGAGCUUGUGCAAGAGCACCAAGACAAGAUGAGUACCCAACACAACACCAAAUCUGAUCCUAAUUAUCCAUUUGUUAUUGAUGGAGAUUUGAAGAUGUUUGAGGACAGACCGGGAAAAUACUUCCUUGGCAGUUAUUUUAUAGAAGAAAUUGAUGACAUUGAUAUCCUCACCAUGGACUCUGAUGAAGAAGACACAAGUAUGUUGUGUUGUUGUAUUGCAUUGAAUUAUACUUCAUCCAAACACUUCCAGGUGUGUCCGUAUUCAUUUCAAAAACGUUUCCAAUAAAUUUUAUGUUAUUUGUAUGUUUUUCAGACAAAGAAGGGCAAGAGGAUGAACCUGAUUACACAAUUGCAAAGACGAGGGCUGCUAGCAAUAACUGCAGCCUGAGAGGCUGGAAGGUGCGCCUCACAGCUGUCGGCUUCUUUUUCGCGCUUGCUCUAGUAGGUUGGUCCUCCAUCUCCCAAAAAAAGAAGCGACAAUCGUCCACAAGCCCACCAUGAGUUUGUAAUUUGACUUCAAAUGUGCUUGCUCUAGUAGCUAAGCACUCUUAACCGCUUGAGAUAUAAAAGCCCAUUGCAACUAGAUACUGAACUUCAAAUGUGUUCAACGCCAUCAAAUAUAGCAUAAAAUACAUCCAGCAUUAGGUUCCAAGCCCACUAUUGAAAAUCAUGUUCAUCCACUCUACACAUCCAAGGCAGCAAACUAACUAGGAUACCAGGUUGGGAGGAUACAAUCAUUAACAAUUUCAAAAGCUAUAAAUGCAAUCCGAAUACAUGGCAAGUAGGGGUAAGCAUGUGAACAAAAAAAUCAGUGAACAUAAUCAAAUCCAAUACGUCAAUUUUGGCCUAGAUUGAAAUGAAAAAAACAAGGAAAUGCUUUGUGUAUCGAUUUGUUUAUGAAGGAAAUAAAACAUAUUUCAUGGAAAGAAAACCUGUGGUUACCUUUGUCUUCCUCUGCCAUUUGUCUAUCGAUUUGUUUCUGAAAGUGGCUAUUCUACAAGAUACAACAUGACAGGUCUUAGUUAGACCAAGUAAACGGCAUGGAAAUGCUUUCUGAAGCAAGAAUGUGUACUCAAGAGCUUUGUGCCAGAGAGGUCGUCGUACCCAGUGCACAAGGCUCCCGCUUUACGCAGGGUCUGGGAGAGGUGAAUGUCGGCUAGCCUUACCCCUAUUUAUGGAGAGGACUUAAGAAAAAUGAAAAAAACAAUAUAGAAUAUGGGUAAGAAUAAAUUUCGAUUAGACAAUAAUUCACUGUAUAAAUCGUUUUUUCAACUUUAAAGUGUGGCUUAAAAAGAAGCUUUAAACAAGUAGCAAUAAUUUCAUAUUGAAAAAUAAAACCUAUUUCAUGGAUAUUACAAGAGCCAUUAUUUUGAAAAACACACCUUUUGGUUCUUCACCACUUGACUUUUAAGAAGAUCUUCGUCCUUGUGACGAUUCAAAUUCUUUAAAAUAUCUCUACGACGGAAUAAACAAAACCAAUCUAGGCCAAAAUUGACUUGUUCGAUUUGAUUAUGUUCACUGAUUUUUCUGUUCACAUGUUUACCCCUACUUGCCAUAUAGUUUUGGGGUGUUAGUGCAUAGUGCUCUUCUCUUUACACACCAGUUUCAAUUUUAUUCUUCGUAAAUUAAGAGACCGUUUGAUAAUCAUUUCGUUUUCAAUUUAAAAAAUAUAAAAAACUAAAUGAAGUUUUCAACUAGAAUUUUCGCUUUUGGUUUUCAAUUUUAAUUUUUUUUAAAACAACUGAAAACUAAAAAUAGUUGCAAAAAGAAUUUUUCAUUUUUUUUUAAUUUAUAAAAAAGUAAAAACUGAAAACUCUAAACUAUAGACUAAAAAUUAAAAAGUGAAAUCGAAAUGGGCUCUCAACAAAAUUGAAAAAAGACUGGGCUGAAUUACUGAAUUCAAAGCAGGGCUUAUUAACGUUACGAGGCCCAAUGGAUCUGGAUAAAUAUUUUUCAUUUUUUUUUAACAAACGAUAUUAUUUAUAUAGGCUUAAUUUUACAGUGGGCUAACAAUAAUGUGGUUCAAAUUUGCUUUUCGCAAGAAUAGAACCUAAAACUUCUCACUUAUAAAUGAAGAGGAAUACCACUAAACCGUAGUCCUGAUAGAUUCGUUAUUUUAUUUUAUAUUUUAAGAAAAAAGAAAGAAAGCAAUGAAAAGCUGUACAUAAAAUAAAUACAAAAAGGAAUGAAAUGAAGAAGAGUGGGAGACUAAUGUUUAAUUCAAGAUAAAGAAAGAAAGCUGAUCGCACCACGACGGCGGCGACGUGGCGGUCAUUUAACGGAAAAUAACAGACAAAUCAGCCUCCAGAUCAAAUCUUGAAGCACAACUCUGAAAAAUCGAGACUACCAACAGCUGAGCUCCGACCAACCGUUGAUGGAUGCAAUCAGGAAGCUCAGAGAUCAGGUCGCCAAGCAACAGCAGGUACUCCCUCUCGUUUGAUUCCGAAUUUGUAUUUCUGUAUGGAUUUUGAUAUGAACAUAAUCUGCGUUGAUUGCGAGAUACUGAGAUUGCUUAAUGAAAUAAUAUUUAUAUAAUUGUUCGAGUUGAAUUGGAUCGAUUCGAAUUCAAAUAGAAUGUCACUAUUUCUGAGCUGUUUGGGGAUGUGUUGGAGUGCAAUGUUGAUGAAUUUCUGAAAUUUUGAGCUAGGUGUUGCUAAUUACUUAUCGAUUUUUGAUGUAAUUGGAUGCUUAAUUUUUACAUUUUCGGAAAACUUCAAACGAAAAUGGCAUAUAAUUCAACGUUCUAUGCUUCAUUAAUGCAUAAGAGUUGGUCGAAGCUUGAUCGAGUUUGCUUUUGGUUAUUUUGUGAACACCGUCAGGCUGUGUUCAAACAAUUUUCUGGUGGCAUAUAUGGGGGAUCGGAUAAUGUUGCCUCGGAUGAAAAUGAAUUUCAACAGCAUCAGAAACUCGAGAAGCUGUACAUAUCAACUCGUGCUGCCAAGGUUGCUACGCUUAUUUUUGUCUGUGCUUUAAACGAGCAUCACGUUAGUUGUGUUACCUAUCGUUUUUUUGCUUCAUCUUUAACAGCAUUACCAAAAGGAAAUUGUCCGCGGAGUGGAAGGUUACAUUGUGGCCGGUUCAAAGCACGUUGAAAUAGGUAUGUUGCUUGAAAUGCGUUGUCUUUUCUUUGGAGUUUGGAUAUGAAUUCAUGCUGGUUUUAUCAGUUGGUAUACAUAAUAUUUUUUCAACAGGUACCAAGCUAUCAGAAGAUAGCAGGAAAUAUGGUUCUGAAAAGACUUGCACCAGUGAUAACACAUUGUCGAGAGCUGCACUUAGUUUUGGAUGAGGUGGGGCCCAAAUGGAAAAAGAGUGCGGAGUUCUACUUAAAGCCCUUGGCACACAGGUUUAAGUCAAAUUAUUACUAACAGAGGCUAUUAAGUAAAAAUCAAAUAUUGCCAGGGCCGGCUUCAUACAAAUGGAAUUUCAACUGACUAAUUUUCGUGUGCAUUUGAUCAUUUCGAAAGAAAUUUACAGCAAAAAUUGUUUUCAUUUCCACGUCGUGGUUCAAGAAUUGGACUACUUUUUGUGUUUCUAUGCAUCGUAUGACAAACUGGCUCACCAUUUCUUUCUAUAGGUUUGCAUAAUAACUCUUUGUGUGCUUAUCAAUUUGCCUGUGUAGGUUGCAUAGCCUUUAUAGUGGGAGCGCCCAUGGAGGAUGCUCGACAUCUUGCUCAACGUUAUGCUAGAAUGCGGCAAGAAGCUGAAGCUCAGGUAUAUGCAGUUUCUUCUGUUUCCUACCAAUUUUAUUCUACAGUGAUUUUAUAUCCAAAACAAGCAUUGACUUGGCUGUCCAUCCAUCAAUAGCAGGUCCACAUCUCAACCCAAAUAUAAUGACGUCAAAGGAGAGGGGAAAAUGAGAAGGAAACUCUGGAGGGUAGAGGGAAGGAAAAGGGGAAAAGGAGAAAGGGAGAAGGGAAAAGUAGAACGGGAAGGAGGAAAAUGAGAGGAAAUUUCGGAGAAUAGAGAAAGGGAGAAGGGAAAAGAAGAAAAGCAGAAAAGAAGGGAAAAGGGGAAGGAAGCUUAGGAGGCUAGAGAAAAAGAUGGAAAUGCAUAAAAAUAAAAAAAUAAAAAAGGAAAGUCGCCUUCAUCAUUAUGUCUACUAACGGAAAGGAGCAACCACAUUGUAAAUUAUAUUUUGUAUAAUGAGAAACCAGUAUUCCUACCCUGAGGGUAUAGACACAACUUGCUGAAUCUCGUUACUAUACAGCAAGUUUAUAAUUGCACAAUAAUUCGAUCAAUCAUCUUAAGUUCAACCAUACAUGUAACAAGAUUUAAGUUUUUCCAAACUUUCCUUAUGAAGGUAACUGAACAUUACAAGUGUCACGUUAUUAUGCGAUUCUAUCAAGUUUUAAUUUUUGUCUCAUAACCACAUUACAAGUGCCACGUUAUUUAUUUUAUCCUUUAUUUUAUCUUUAUUAUUAAAACUUAAAAUUUUCAUAUUUUUUUAUUAAUUUUUUUUUAUAAAAUCACACGUAAAACAAGAAGUAAUCUUUUCUUUUUCUUUUCAUCUCUGCCACUAGCGGCCGACCAUGACUUAAAGAAACGCUUUUUGGAUGGGUCAAUGUAUGGGAACGACCCAUUUUAUAUGUUACAUGGUUGUGCAAUUAAAAGUGCAUUUUAUCAUAAAAAUGUGAGCAACGAUCAAUAUAAUUGUUAUUUAUAAAAUCACACAAAACACAAGAAGGAAUCUUUUCUUUUUCUUUUUCAUCUCUGCCACUACCAGCCGACCAUGACUUAAAAGAAACGCUUUUUGGUUCAAUGGAUGGGAACGACCUAUUUUAUAAUAAGAAAAAUUAAUUAAAAAAAUUUAAAAAUUUUAAGUUUUAAUAAUAAAAAGAUGUUGUAAAUAAAUAGUACAUAAUUGAUUUUUUUAGUAAAAGUAUAAUUUUUUAUUAAAAUUUCGUUCAAAUCCCCUUUAUAAUAUUGUUUGUAAAUUUUUCUGGAAGUAGAUGGAAAUGACCCAAUUACAUAUUUCCCCUGCUCACAGACAUUUUCAUUGCACCUAGAAAACCAGUUUUUUGUUAGAAAAUCGAUCCACAUCAAUGGCUCUUGUGAGAACAUCUCCAGGAACCUCCUCUGAUUCCAACACUUUUCGGAGUUAUCGCUACGACGUGUUCUUGAGCUUCAGAGGCGAAGAUACUCGCAAGACUUUUACCGACCACCUCUACACAGCCUUGAACAACGCAGGAUUUCUUACGUUCCGAGACGACGAUGAACUUGAGAGAGGAGAAGAUAUAAAGCCAGGACUGCAGAAAGCGAUCCAGCAGUCACGAACUUCUGUUGUCGUGUUUUCGAAAGAUUACGCUUCAUCCAGUUGGUGUCUUGAUGAGCUUGUGCUGAUCCUUGAACGCAAGAGGACCACCUCGGACCAUGUAGUUUUACCAGUCUUCUACGAUGUCGAUCCGUCCCACGUGAGGAAGCAGACAGGAAGUGUUGGAAAAGCAUUUGCUAGAAGCCAGAAAAAUCAGUCGCCGGAAAAGGUGCAGGGAUGGAGGAAGGCACUUGCAGAGAUUGCAGACCUAGCAGGCAUGGUCUUACAAAAUCAAGCUGAUGGGUAACUUUCAUUAUCUCCAUUUCUCAUCUUUCCUGGGUGAAUUUGAUGUAUGAUCCGUAAUGACCUAGAUUUUUAUAUGUUUAUUAAUUCAAUCUCAGUAGUGAAUAAUAAUCUCAAUUUAGGUCAACUUAAAGAAAUCACACUCAACUCAACUUAAGGAUUAGUCAUUUUCCAUGUUAAUCUACUGGUUUCCAGUUGCUUAAAUUUUUUUGAAAGCUGGUGUGGAAAAAGGUUAGGAUGUGAUCUGUCUAUAGUUCGUGUAAAUUAUGCGCUGUAUUCCUUUUUUUUUUCAAUUUAAUUUUGUCAGCAGUCCUCUUUUUUUUUUCUUAUUUAAAAAGGCAAUCAACAUAUGUUUUAAUUAUCUAAUUUCCCCAAUUCAUUUUUCAUUUUGUUUGCAAAUUCUUAGGUACGAGUCAAAGUUUAUCAAAAAAAUUGUUGAAGUGAUAGGAGACAAGUUAUGUCGUACGUCGUUGAGUGUUGAACCAAAAUUGAUUGGAAUUCAAUCUCAAGCCGAACGCAUCAAUUUGUGGUUACAAGAUGGAUCAAGUCAUGUUGGUAUAUUUGUUGUGUAUGGCAUGUCUGGAAUAGGGAAGACAACCAUUGCAAAACAUGUUUACAAUUCAAACUUUGGAAGCUUUCAAGGAAGUAGUUUCAUUGAAAAUAUCAAAGAAACAGCAGAUCGACCAAAUGGCUUAGUUCAAAUACAAAUGCAACUUCUUUGUGAUAUUUUGAACGGCAGAGAAGUGAAAAUACACAGUGUUAGUGAGGGAAUAAUUAAGAUUGAAAGGGCCAUAAGCACUAGAAGAGUUCUACUUGUUCUUGAUGAUGUUGACCAAAUGGACUAAUUCGAUGCAAUCCUAAGGAUGAAGGAUCAGUUUUAUCCUGGAAGUAAGAUACUAAUAACAACUAGGCGUGAAAGGCUGCUAAAGGCAGAUCAAGUUACAGAGGUGCACAGAGUUCAAACUUUGGAUUACAAUGAAUCAUUAAAGCUUUUCAGUUGGCAUGCUUUUGGCCAGGACCAUCCCAUAGAAGAAUACAUGGAGCACUCAAAACAGCUAGUGCAACAUAGCGACGGACUUCCAUUAGCUCUAAAAGUUUUGGGUUCUUCUUUAUCAGGGGAAAGUAUAGGUGUAUGGGAAAGUGCAUUGGAGAAGCUAAAAGUUAUUCCUGAUGGUGAAAUCAUAAACAAACUAAGAAUAAGCUAUGAAAGUUUAAAAGAUGACCAUGACCGGAAAUUAUUCCUCCACAUUGCUUGUUUCCUAAUAGGAAGGAACAAAACCUACAUUGUUAGAAUAUUCGAUGGAUGUGAUUUCUAUACAAUCAUUGGCAUUCAAAAUCUCAUUGAUAGAUGCUUGGUGACAUUUGAUGAACACGGCAAGGUGAAAAUGCAUGACAUGAUUCGUGCUAUGGGAAGAGAAAUUGUUCGCCAAGAAUCAGAAGAGCUUGAGGAACGUAGUAGAUUAUGGCGCCAUAAGGAUUCUUUCCAAGUAUUGAGGAAAAAGAAUGUAAGAAACAUGCCUUUUAUGUCUAUAUAUGUCUUUCUUCUUGUGAAAAUUAUGCAUAUUAAUGUCUUUUUUUUUUCCUUUAGGGUACAAAAAAAAUCCAAGGUCUUGUCCUGGAUAUGCGUAAUCAUUCUGCAAACAGUCCAAUAAACACAAAUGAGAUAGUCUUGGAAACCAAUGCAUUUGCAAGGAUGUGCAAUUUACAACUACUCCAUCUUAGUCAUGUACGACUGGAUGGAUGUUAUGCAGAUUUCCCUACAGGAUUAAGAUGGUUGUGUUGGCUUGAAUUUCCUUUGGAUUCUAUACCAAUUGAUUUUCCUUUGGAGAACGUAAUUGUUCUGGAAAUGCAAUACAGUAGCUUGAGACAAGUAUGCAAAGGAACAAAAGUAUGUUACUCUAUGCAUUUCAAUUCAUUUUCCUUAUUUUGUUAGUUUUUUAUUUGUUGACUAACUUCGUGUGUUAAAAUGAACUACUAUGUUUUCUUUAAUUCAAUGACUAAUUUCUUAUAUUAGAUACUUAUUUCAUUGUUAUUUUUUCUUCUUUUUUUUCCCUCUGUUUCCACAGUUUCUUCCAUCGUUGAAGAUCCUUGACGUCAGCCAUUCUCAUGGCCUUAGUGAAACCAUUGACUUCUCACUUUUCCCCAAUCUAGAGGAACUGAUUCUUGUAGAUUGCACAAGCCUGAAGAAUGUUCAUGAAUCCAUUGGAAGCUUGGAGAGACUCGUGUACUUGAAUAUAAAGGAUUGCAAGAAUCUUAGGAAGCUUCCGAAGAACAUGUGCAUGCUUAAGGCCCCGUUUGGGAUUGAGGUGAUUUUAAAAAAAGCCACUGUCAAAAAAAGCUGAGGAUCAUUUUUGUGUUUGGUAAACUGAAAAAAAAGGGCUUAUUUUGGAAGCUGCUGUGAGAAUAAGCUGAAAAUCAAAGAAAAAGCUGAAGCUGCUAUUUGCUGCUUUGAAAAAAAGCCAGUUUUUUCAAAGCACACGGAGCUACAGUGCUCCUUUAAUGAAAAGACACACUAUCAUCCUGCUUUUUUUUCCAAAAGCACUUUCACAAAAAAGUUUACCAAACACUCUACUGGCUUUAUUUCACAGCCGCUUAUUCUCACAGCACAGCUGCUUAUUCUUACAGCAGCUUUUUUUCAAAGCACAGCAAUACCAAACCAGCCCUAAAUCACUUGAACACUCAUUUUAUCUGGUUGCUCAAAUCUUGAUGAGUUUCCAAUGGAGAUGAUGAAGAUGGAGUCUCUGAAAGUUCUUGAGACAGAUGGACUUCCAAUAGGUAAAUUGUGGCCAGAAAGAAGUUCAACUAUCUUGAGUUCUUUUCCAUGCUCUUUAGUAGAGUUAAGUCUGAAGGGGUGCAAUCUUUCUGAUGAUGUCCUUCCUACGGAUUUAAGUAAUCUAUCCAAUUUGCAGUCUGCCAGUUUUCAUCAAAGGUUUGAGGAAGAUCGAUGAACUCUCUUUCAAGGGUUGUGAUAGGCUCGAAUCGCUUGUGGGGUUGCCGGAAGUACACCAAUGGCUAAGUAUAGCCGGAUGCAUAUCAUUAAAAAAAAUAACUUUUCAUUCCCCUGAGCAACCGUAUCUAGUACGUGGGGGUGACAACUCGAAUAACUGUAAUUGCUGUUACAAGUUACAGCCUUUUGAUAGAGUUGAUGUGAAAAUGAUCAAACUUAUGGGCUUGUGCAACUUUGAAUCCAUGCCAGCUGUUCAAAUGCGUAAUUCAUACACAUACAGGGAUCCAAAAGAGGUCCCCGUCCAGGUGCGCCUCUCUUUCUCUCUCUCAUAAGUCUUAAAUAUAUAAUGGGAAAGAAAUUACUGAGUAAUGUUGUGAUGACUGUGGCAAAUACAUAGGGACUGUAUCAAUUUGGUGUAUUCAGCACUUUUUUUGUUGGGAAUGAGGUUCCAGGCCGGUUCAGCUAUAAAAGUACGAAGUAUUCGAUAUCUUUUAUUGUCCCUUUACUACUUGCUAGUCACAGAAUUCGAGGCUUGAACAUCUUUGCUACCUAUGCAAAGGAAAAUUCAAAUAAUUAUUCUACUGGACCUAUUAUUGUUCCAAUAAUGAUCAAAGUGAGAAACAAGAGCAAGGGUUUGAAGUGGAUCUAUUGCCCAUUAUCCUAUGGAAUCCCAGGUGACGGAGAAGAUAUGAUAUGGUUGAGCCAUUGGAAGAUGGAGAAUAAUACAAUAUUACAAUGUGGAGAUGAAGUGGUGGUUUCGGUAAUAACCGGACCACGUGACUUGUUUUUGGUAAAGGAGUUUGGUGUCGAGCUUGUGCAAGAGCACCAAGACAAGAUGAGUACCCAACACAACACCAAAUCAGAUCCUAAUUAUCCAUUUGUUAUCGGUGGAGAUUUGAAGACGUGGAAGUGCAAACCAGGAAUAUACUUCCUUAGCUGUAGGAGACGAGAAGAUACUGACGACAUUGAUAUCCUCACCAUGGACUCUGAUGAAGAAGACACAAGUAUGUUGUGUUGUUGUAUAGCAUUGAAUUAUACUCCAUCCAAACACUUCCGGGUGUGUCCGUAUUCAUUUCAAAAACAUUUCCAAUAAAUUUUAUGUUAUUUGUAUGUUUUUCAGACAAAGAAGGGCAAGAGGAUGAACCUGAUUACACAAUUGCAAAGACGAUGGCAGCUAGCAAUAACUGCAGCCUAAGAGGAUGGAAGGUGCGCCUCACAGCUGUCGGCUUCUUUUUCGCGCUUGCUCUAGUUGGUUGGUCCUCCAUCUCGCAAAAAAAGAAGCGACACUCGUCCACAAGCCCACCAUGAGUUUGUAAUUUGACUUGAUAUAGAUAUAUCUUUGCAUUCCUUGCUCUCAAGAUGUUUUCUACCUUCGAAACUUCAAGUUUAGAGCUAAGCACUUUAACCGCUUGAGAUAUAAAAGCCCCUUGCAACUAGAUACCGAAGUUCAAAUGUGUUCAACGCCAUCAAAUAUAGCAUAAAAUACAUCCAGCAUUAGCGAUACUAGCAUAGUAGCAGUAAAUAAGUAAAACCAAAAAAUGCUUCCACACAUGGUAAGGGAAGGACUUUACAUAGGAAUCUUUAGCAAUAACGGGCAAGAUUUUUUUGUUUUUGGGAGGAGGUGGAUUAUUUCGGCACCGGGGAAAACAAAAACAUCCCAUCUUAGUUGUCGUUUACAACAAAAUCAUUCUUAAAGACUCGGCUCCCCAUUGAAAUUGUGUAAAUUGCAUAAAUAUCAAUACAACAGAUAUUAAAUAGAAUAAUAUAUAUCAAAUAAAUUAACGACAAGCAAUUUCUUAGCCUGAGAUCCAAGGACUUUACAGCUGGUUCAGCCUUGCAUUCGCUACUACAUUACAGAAGCUGGUUUCUGCUUCUUCAACCUGAACAAAUUAUUGAGGUCAGGAAGUAUAAGAGGAACGACCAUAGUCUCUGGAGCCAUGAAAUUUACUAUCUUCUUUUGGGCAUUGUACCUGCAAAAGCAUAAUGCAAUAAGCAUUCAACAAUCUGACCUAGUUUUCUCAACAGAUACUCCAAGAUAUUCCAAAACAAAGUCACAGCAAUUUCACAUAGGGAACCGAAGAAUCAUGUUCGUCCACUCUACACAUCCAAAGCAGCAAACUAACAAUUUCACAUAGGAUACCAGGUUGGGAGGAUACAAUCAUUAACAAUUUCAAAAGCUUUAAAUGCAAUCUGAAUACAUGGCAAGUAGGGGUAAACAUGUGAACAGAAAAAAUCAGUGAACAUAAUCAAAUCCAAUACGUCAAUUUUGGCCUAGAUUGAAAUGAAAAAAAAACAAGGAAAUGCUUUGUUGUUUUUGAAGGAAAUAAAACCUAUUUCAUGGAAAUAAAACCUGUGGUUACCUUUGUCUUCCUUUGCCAUUUGUCUAUCGAUUUGUUUCUGAAAGUGGCUAUUCUACAAGAUACAGCAUGACAGGUCCUAGUUAGACCAAGCAACCGGCAUGGAAAUGCUUUCUGAAGCAAGAAUCUGAACUCAAGAGCUUUGUGCCAGAGAGACUUCAGAAAAAUGAAAAAAAACAACAUAGAAUAUGGGUAAGAAUAAACAUCGAUCAAACAAUAAUUCACUGUAUAAAACAUUUUUUCAACUUUAAAGUGUGGCUUAAAAAGAAGCUUUAAACAAGUAGCAAUAAUUUCAUAUUGAAAAAUAAAACCUGGAUAUUACAAGAGCCAUUAUUUUGAAAGACACACCUUUUGGUUCUUCACUACUUGACUUUUAAGAAGAUCUUCGUCCUUGUCACGAUUCAGAUUCUUUAAAAUAUCUCUGCGAUGGAAUAAACAAAACCAAUCUAGGCCAAAAUUGACUUAUUCGAUUUGAUUAUGUUCACUGAUUUUUCUAUUCACAUGUUUACCCCUUACUUGCCAUAUGGUUUUGGGGUGUUAGUGCAUAGUGCUCUUCUCUUUACACACCUGUUUCAUUUGUAUUCGUUGUAAAUUAAGAGACCGUUUGAUAAUCAUUUCGUUUUCAAUUUAAAAAAUAUAAAAAACUAAAUAAAGUUUUCUAAAUUUGACCUAGAAUUUUUCGCUUUUGGUUUUUAAUUUUUUUUUUUAACAACUGAAAACUAAAAAUAGUUACAAAUUUUUUUUUCAGUUUUUAAUUUACAAAAAAGUAAAAACUGAAAACUCUAAACUAUAGACUAAAAAUUAAAAAGUGAAAUCGAAAUGGGCUCUCAACAAAAUUGAAAAAAGACUGGGCUGAAUUACUGAAUUCAAAGCAGGGCUUAUUAACGCUACGAGGCCCAAUGGAUCUGUAUAAAUAUUUUUUGUUUUUUUUUAACAAACGAUAUUAUCUAUAUGGGCUUAACCUUACAAUAGGCUAACAAUAAUGUGGUUCAAAUUUAUUUUUGACGAGAAUCGAACCUAAAACUUCUCGCUUACAAAUGAAGAGGAAUACCACUAAAUCAUAGUCCUGAUAUUUUAUUUAAUAUUUUAAGAAAAAAGAAAGAAAGCAAUGAAAAGCUGUACAUAAACUAAAUACAAAAAGGAAUGAAAUGAAGAAGAGUGGGAGACUAACGUUUAAUUCAAGAUAAAGAAAGAAAGGUAAUCGCACCCCGACGGCGGCGACGUGGCGGUCAUUUAACGGAAAAUAACAGACAAAUCAGCCUCCAGAUCAAGUCUUGAAGCACAACUCUGAAAAAUCGACACUACCUACAGCUGAGCUCCGACCAACCGUUGAUGGAUGCAAUCCGGAAGCUCAGAGAUCAAGUCGCCAAGCAACAGCAGGUACUCUCUCUCUUGUUUGAUUCCGAAUUUGUAUUUCUGUAUGGAUUAUGAUAUGAACAUAAUCUGCGUUGAUUGCGAGAUACUAAGAUUGCUUAAUGAAAUAAUAUUUAUAUAAUUGUUCAAAUUGAAUUGGAUCGAAUUCGAAUAGAUUUUUCACUAUUUCUGAGCUGUUUGGGGCUGUGUUGGAGUGUAUUGUUGCUGAAUUUCUGAAAUUUUGAAUCUAGCAAACACCAGUUCUUUUUGUUUGAACAUCGAUCCACAUCAAUGGCUCUUGUGAGAACAUCUCCAGGAACCUCCUCUGAUUCCAACACUUUUCGGAGUUAUCGCUACGACGUGUUCUUGAGCUUCAGAGGCGAAGAUACUCGCAAGACUUUUACCGACCACCUCUACACAGCCUUGAACAACGCAGGAUUUCUUACGUUCCGAGACGACGAUGAACUUGAGAGAGGGGAAGAUAUAAAGCCAGGACUGCAGAAAGCGAUCCAGCAGUCACGAACUUCUGUUGUCGUGUUUUCGAAAGAUUACGCUUCAUCCAAGUGGUGUCUUGAUGAGCUUGUGCUGAUCCUUGAACGCAAGAGGACCACCUCGGACCAUGUAGUUUUACCAGUCUUCUACGAUGUCGAUCCGUCCCACGUGAGGAAGCAGACAGGAAGUGUUGGAAAAGCAUUUGCUAGAAGCCAGAAAAAUCAGUCGCCGGAAAAGGUGGAGGGAUGGAGGAAGGCACUUGCAGAGAUUGCAGACCUAGCAGGCAUGGUCUUACAAAAUCAAGCUGAUGGGUAACCUUCAUUAUCUCCAUUUCUCUUCUCUUUGUUGGGUCAAUUUGAUGUAUGAUCCGUAGUGACAUAGAUUUUUAUAUAUUUAUUAAUUCAAUCUCAGUAGUGAAUAAUAAUCCCAAUUCAGGUCAACUUAAAGAAAGCACACUCAACUCAACUUAAGGAUUAGUCAUUUUCCAUGUUAAUCUACUGGUUUCCAGUUGCUUAAAUUUUUUUUGAAAGCUGGUGUGGAAAAAAGUUAGGAUGUGAUCUGUUUUGUAUUUGUCUAUAGUUUGUAUAGAUUAUGCGCUGUAUUCCUUUUUUUUUCAAUUUAAUUUUGUCAGGCAAUCAACAUAUGUUUUAAUUAUCUAAUUUCCCCAAUUCAUUUUUCAUUUUGUUUGCAAAUUCUUAGGUACGAGGCAAAGUUUAUCGAAAAAAUUGUUAAAGUGAUAGAAGACAAGUUAAGUCGUAUGCCAUUGAGUGUUGAACCAAAAUUGAUUGGUAUUCAAUAUCAAGCCGAACGCAUCAAUUUGUGGUUACAAGAUGGAUCAAGUGGUGUUGGUAUAUUUGUUGUGUAUGGCAUGUCUGGAAUCGGGAAGACAACCAUUGCAAAACAUGUUUACAAUUCAAACUUUAGAAGCUUUCAAGGAAGUAGUUUCAUUGAAAAUAUCAAAGAAACAGCAGAUCGACCAAAUGGCUUAGUUCAAAUACAAAUGCAACUUCUUUGUGAUAUUUUGAACGGCAGAGAAGUGAAAAUACACAGUGUUAGUGAGGGAAUAAUUAAGAUUGAAAGGGCCAUAAGCUCUAGAAGAGUUCUACUUGUUCUUGAUGAUGUUGACCAUAUGGACCAAUUAGAUGCAAUCCUAAGGAUGAAAGAUCAGUUUUAUCCGGGAAGUAAGAUACUAAUAACAACUAGGCGUGAAAGGUUGCUAAAGGCAGAUCAAGUUACAGAGGUGCACAGAGUUCGGACUUUGUAUUACAAUGAAUCAUUAAAGCUUUUCAGUUGGCAUGCUUUUGGCCAGGACCAUCCCAUAGAAGAAUACAUGGAGCACUCAAAACAGCUUGUGCAACAUAGCGACGGACUUCCAUUAGCUCUAAAAGUUUUGGGUUCUUCUUUAUCAGGGGAAAGUAUAGGUGUAUGGGAAAGUGCAUUGGAGAAGCUAAAAGUUAUUCCUGAUGGUGAAAUCAUGAAUAAACUAAGAAUAAGCUAUGAAAGUUUAAAAGAUGACCAUGAUCGGAAAUUAUUCCUCCACAUUGCUUGUUUCCUAAUAGGAAGGAACAAAAGCUACAUUGUUAGAAUACUCGAUGGAUGUGAUUUCUAUACAAUCAUUGGCAUUCAAACUCUCAUUGAUAGAUGCUUGGUGACACUUGAUGAACACGGCAAGGUGAAAAUGCAUGACAUGAUUCGUGCUAUGGGAAGAGAAAUUGUUCGCCAAGAAUCAGAAGAGCUUGAGGAACGGAGUAGAUUAUGGCGCCAUAAGGAUUCUUUCCAAGUAUUGAGGAAAAAGAAUGUAAGAAACAUGCCUUUUAUGUCUAUAUAUGUAUUCCUUCUUGUGAAAAUUAUGCAUAUUAAUGUCUUUUUUUUUCCUUUAGGGUACAAAAAAAAUCCAAGGUCUUGUCCUGGAUAUGCGUAAUCAUCCUGCAAACAGUCCAAUAAACACAAAUGAGAUAGUCUUGGAAACCAAUGCAUUUGCAAGGAUGUGUAAUUUACAACUACUCCAUCUUAGUCAUGUACGACUGGAUGGAUGUUAUGCAGAUUUCCCUACAGGAUUAAGAUGGGUGUGUUGGCUUGAAUAUCCUUUGGAUUCUAUACCAAUUGAUUUUCCUUUGGAGAACGUAAUUGUUCUUGAAAUGCAAUACAGUAGCUUGAGACAAGUAUGCAAAGGAACAAAAGUAUGUUACUCUAUGCAUUUCAAUUCAUUUUCCUUAUUGUGUUAGUUUCUUAUUUGUUGACUAACUCCAUGUGUUAAAAUGAACUACUAUGUUUUCUUUAAUUCGAUGACUAAUUUCUUAUGUUAGAUACUUAUUUCAUUGUUCUUUUUUCUUUUCUUUUUUUCCCUCUGUUUCCACAGUUUCUUCCAUCGUUGAAGAUCCUUGACGUCAGCCAUUCUCAUGGCCUUAGUGAAACCAUUGACUUCUCACUUUUCCCCAAUCUAGAGGAACUGAUUCUUGUAGAUUGCACAAGCCUGAAGAAUGUUCAUGAAUCCAUUGGAAACCUAGAGCGACUCGUGUACUUGAAUAUGAAGGAUUGCAAGAAUCUUAGGAAGCUUCCGAAGAACAUGUGCAUGCUUAAAUCACUUGAAACGCUCAUUUUAUCUGGUUGCUCAAAUCUUGAUGAGUUUCCCUUGGAGAUGAUGAAGAAGAUGGAGUCUCUGAAAGUUCUUGAGACAGAUGGAAUUCCAAUAAGUGAAUUGUGGCCAGAAAGAAGUUCAACUAUCUUGAGUUCUUUUCCACGCUCUUUAGUAGAGUUAAGUCUGAAGGGAUGCAAUCUUUCUGAUGAUGUCUUUCCUACGGAUUUAAGUAAUUUAUCCUACUUGCGAGGACUACAUUUAGAUGAGAAUCCAAUUUGCAGUCUGCCAGUUUUCAUCAAAGGUUUGAGGAGGAUCGAUAAACUCUCUUUCAAGGGUUGUGAUAGGCUUGAAUCGCUUGUGGGGUUGCCGGAAGUACACCAAAUAAUGAGUAUAGUCAGAUGCAUAUCAUUAAAAAAAUAACUUUUCAUUCCCCUGGGCAACAUCAUCUAUCACGUGUAAUUUACAAUGACAACCGGAAUCUUGUUGAGGCGGAGUGUUUUUACAAGUUAGAGCCUAUUGAUAGAGUUGAUGUGGAAAUGAUCAAACUUUUGGGCUUGUGCAACUUGGAAUCCAUGCCAGCUGUUCGAAUGCAUCAUCCACUCACAAACUGGGAUCUAAUAGACGUCCCCGUCCAGGUGCGCCUCUUUUUCUCUCUCUCUCAUAAGUCUUAAAUAUAUAAUGGGAAAGAAAUGACUGAGUAAUGUUGUGAUGACUGUGGCAAAUACAUAGGGACUGUAUCAACAUGGUAUAUUCAGCACCUUUUUUGUUAGGAAUGAGGUUCCAGGCCUGUUCAGCUAUAAAAGUACCAAGUCCUCGAUAUCUUUUAUUGUCCCUUUACUACUUGCUAGUCACAGAAUUCGAGGCUUAAACAUCUUUGCUACCUAUGCAAAGGAAAAUUCAAAUAAUUAUUCUACUGGACCUAUUAUUGCUCCAAUAAUGAUCAAAGUGAGAAACAAGAGUAAGGGUCUGAAGUUGAUCUAUGACCCUGAGUUCUACGGAAUUCCAGGUGACGGAGAAAAUAUGAUAUGGUUGAGCCAUUGGAUGAUGGAGAAUAAAACAAUAUUACAAUGUGGAGAUGAAGUGGUGGUUUCGGUAAUAACCGGACCACGUGACAUGUUUUGGGUAAAGGAGUUUGGUGUCGACCUUGUGCAAGAGCACCAAGACAAGAUGAGUACCCAACACAACACCAAAUCCGAUCCUAAUUAUCCAUUUGUUAUCGGUGGAGAUUUGAAGAUGUUUGAGCGCAGACCGGGAAUAUACUUCCUUGGCAAUUAUGCAAGAAAAGAUAUUGAUGACAUUGAUAUCCUCACCAUGGCCUCUGAUGAAGAAGACACAAGUAUGUUGUGUUGUUGUAUAGCAUUGAAUUAUACUCCAUCCAAACACUUCCAUGUGUGGUCCGUAUUCAUUUCAAAAAUGUUUCCAAUAAAUGUUAUGUUAUUUGUAUGUUUUUCAGACAAAGAAAGACAAGAGGAUGAACCUGAUUACACAAUUGCAAAGACGAGGGCUGCUAGCAAUAACUGCAGCUUGAGAGGCUGGAAGGUGCGCCUCACAGCUGUCGGCUUCUUUUUUUCGCUUGCUCUAGUAGGUUGGUCCUCCAUCUCCCAAAAAAAGAAGCGACACUCGUCCACAAGCCCACCAUGAGUUUGUAAUUUGACUUGAUAUAGAUAUAUCUUUGCAUUCCUCUCAGGAUGUUUUCUAUCUUCAAAACUUCAAGUUCGCUAAGCACGCUUAACCGCUUGAGAUAUAAAAGCCCCUUGCAACUAGAUACCAAAGUUAAAAUGUGUUCAAAACAUCAAAUAUAGCAUAAAAUACAUCCAGCAUUAGUUAUACUAGCAGAGUAGCAAUAAAUAAGUAAAACAAAAAAAUGCUUCCACACACGGUAAGGGAUGGACUUUGACAUAGGUAUCUUUAGAGCAAUUCCACCCCUAAGGACUUUGCGUCCGCACCUAGCGCAUUUAUCCACUCAAAUGAACAGUAACAGACUCUAAUGAACAGUAAUAGGCCAAGCAUCUCCACCCCUAAAAAAAUGCGCUGGCACCUAGUAAAAAAAUGCGUUGGCACAAACGAUCUUCAUCCCUACAAAAUGCGCUGGCACCCAGCCCAUUUAAAAUAUUUUUAAAUGUUGUCUAAAAGAAUAAAAAAAUAAAAUAGUUUUAAUUUCGGAUAGGAUUUUUAACUAAUCUCGUCACACCACAUGUCAUUAUCUGAACGUACUAUUUUGUGAAUAGAUUUCCGCUAAGAUUUUCUGUAUUUUUUAAUAAUUUUUAAUGAAUUUUAAUAUAGUUAAUUAAUCUGGACCGUUAGAUUUGAAAAAAUAUUCAAAUCCAAGAGACAGGGAGUUGCCACGUGGCCAACAGUCAUAUUUCUGACCGUUGGGCCUUUUUUUUUUUUUUUUACUUUUUUGUAAAAAAAACGUGGACCGUUGAUCUUUGAUCCGACAGUCUAUUUUAAAAGUAAAAUUUAAAUUUUUUUACCGUUGGAAAUCCAACGGUCUAGAAAAGGGAGCCACGUCGCCAACUCGAGGGGGGGGGGGAAACUGAGUGCGCCACGCGGGCCCGCCUUCUGAAAUCUUGUCGGGCACUCGCGCCAGCACCUCCAUGAAGCGCACGCGCAAGGCAAACUGCCCAGCUUCUUGCUCAGUCUCGUUUGGGCUGGGUACCAGUCAAGUUGAAGGGGUGGACUUGGUUGACAGGGUGCUGGCCUUGUUUUUGUGCUGGAUCCUGGGCAAAUUCCACUGGGGUGGAAUUGCUCUUAGCAAUAACGGGCAAGAUUUUUUUUAGGGAGGGGGAAGGGAUUAUUUUGGCAUCGGGGAAAACAAAAACAUCCUAUCUGCUUAUGAAUGACAAAUUUACAAAUCUUAAUUGUCGUUUACAACAAAAUCAUUCUUAAAGACUCGGCUCCCCAUUGAAAUUGUGUAAAUUGCAUAUAUAACAAUACAACAGAUAUUAGAUAGAAUAAUAUAUAUCAAAUAAUUUAACGAUAGGACUUUACAGUUGGUUCAGCCUUGCAUUGCUACUACGCUACAGAAGCUGGUUUCUGCUUCUUCCACCUGAACAAAUUAUUGAGGUCAGGAAGUAUAGGAGGAACGGCCAUAGUCUCUGGAGCCAAGAAAUUUACUAUCUUCUCAUGAACAUUGUACCUGCAAAAGCAUAAUGCAAUAAGCAUUCAACAAUCUGACCUAGUUUGCUCAACAGAUGCUCUAAGAUAUUCCAAAACAAAGUCACAACAAUUUCACAUAGGGAACCGAAGAAUCAUGUUCAUCCACUCAACACAUCCAAAGCAGCAAACUAACUAGGAUACCAGGUUGGGAGGAUACAAUCAUUAACAAUUUCAAAAGCUUUAAACGCAAUCUGAAUAUAUGGCAAGUAGGGGUAAACAUGUGAACAGAAAAGUCAAAGAACAUAAUCAAAUCGAAUAAGUCAAUUUUGGCCUAGAUUGAAAUGAAAAAAAAAACAAGGAAAUGCUUUGUGUAUCGAUUUGUUUAUGAAGGAAAUAAAUGCUUUGUGUAUCCAUUCGUCUAUCAAUUUGUUUCUGAAAGUGGCUAUUCUACAAGAUACAGCAUGACAGGUCUUAGUUGGACCAAGUAACCGGCAUGGAAAUGCUUUCUGAAGCAAGAAUCUGAACUCAAGAGUUUUGUGCCAGAGAGACUUCAGAAAAAUGAAAAAAACAACAUAGAAUAUGGGUAAGAAUAAACAUCGAUUAGACAAUAAUUCACUGUAUAAAUAAUUUUUUCAACUUUAAAGUGUGGCUUAAAAAGAAGCUUUAAACAAGUAGCAAUAAUUUCAUAUUGAAAAAUAAAACCUAUUUCAUGGAUAUUACAAGAGCCAUUAUUUUGAAAAACACACCUUUUGGUUCUUCACUGCUUGACUUUUAAGAAGUUCUUUGUUCUUGUGACAAUUCAGAUUCUUUAAAAUAUCUCUGCAACGGAAUAAACAAAACCAAUCUAGGCAAAAAUUGACUUGUUCGAUUUGAUUAUGUUCACUGAUUUUUCUGUUCACAUGUUUACCCCUACUUGCCAUAUAGUUUUAGUUUUGGGGUGUUAGCGCAUAGUGCUCUUCUCUUUACACACCAGUUUCAAUUUUAUUCUUCGUAAAUUAAGAGACCGUUUGAUAAUCAUUUCGUUUUCAAUUUUAAAAAAUAUAAAAAACUAAAUAAAGUUUUCAAAAUUUGACCUAGAAUUUUCGCUUUUGGUUUUCAAUUUUAAUUUUUUUUUAAACAACUGAAAACUAAAAAUAGUUACAAAAAGAAUUUUUCAGUUUUUAAUUUACAAAAAAGUAAAAACUGAAAACUCUAUACUAUAGACUAAAAAUUAAAAAGUGAAAUCGAAAUGGGCUCUCAACAAAAUUGAAAAAAGACUGGGCUGAAUUACUGAAUUCAAAGCAGGGCUUAUUAACGUUACGAGGCCCAAUGGAUAUGUAUAAAUAUUUUUCGUUUUUUGUUUAACAAACGAUAUUAUUUAUAUGGGCUUAAUGUUACAGUGAGCUAACAAUAAUGUGGUUCAAAUUUGCUUUUCGUAAGAAUCGAAUCUAAAACUUCUCACUUAGAGAAAUACCUCUAAACCGUAAUCUGAGUGGCUCGUUAUUUUAUUUUAUAUUUUAAGAAAAAAGAAAGAAAGCAAUGAAAAGCUGUACAUAAAAUAAAUACAAAAAGCUAAGAAAUGAAGAAGAGUGGGAGACUAACGUUUAAUUCAAGAUAAAGAAAGAAAGGUAAUCGCAAGACGACGGCGGCGACGUGGCGGUCAUUAAACGGAAAAUAACAGACAAAUCAGCCUCCAGAUCAAGUCUUGAAGCACAACUCUGAAAAAUCGAGACUACCUACAGCUGAGCUCCGACCAACCGUUGAUGGAUGCAAUCCGGAAGCUCAGAGAUCAGGUCGCCAAGCAACAGCAGGUACUCCCUCUCGUUUGAUUCCGAAUUUGUAUUUCUGUAUGGAUUUUGAUAUGAACAUAAUCUGCGUUGAUUGCGAGAUACUGAGAUUGCUUAAUGAAAUAAUAUUUAUAUAAUUGUUCGAGUUGAAUUGGAUCGAUUCGAAUUCAAAUAGAAUUUCACUAUUUCUGAGCUGUUUGGGGAUGUGUUGGAGUGCAAUGUUGAUGAAUUUCUGAAAUUUUGAGCUAGGUGUUGCUAAUUACUUAUCAAUUUUUGAUGUAAUUGGAUGCUUAAUUUUUACAUUUUCGGAAAACUUCAAGCGAAAAUGGCAUAUAAUUCAACGUUCCAUGCUUCAUUAAUGCAUAUGAGUUAGUCGAAGCUUCAUCGAGUUUGCUUUUGAUUAUUUUGUGAACACCGUCAGGCCGUGUUCAAACAAUUUUCUGGUGGCAUAUAUGGGGGAUCGGAUAAUGUUGCCUCGGAUGAAAAUGAAUUUCAACAGCAUCAGAAACUCGAGAAGCUGUACAUAUCAACUCGUGCUGCCAAGGUUGCUACGCUUAUUUUUGUCUGUGCUUUAAACGAGCAUCACGUUAGUUGUGUUACCUAUCGUUUUUUGCUUCUUCUUUAACAGCAUUACCAAAAGGAAAUUGUCCGCGGAGUGGAAGGUUACAUUGUGGCCGGUUCAAAGCACGUUGAAAUAGGUAUGUUGCUUGAAAUGCGUUGUCUUUUCUUGGGAGUUUGGAUAUGAAUUCGUGUUGGUUUUAUCAGCUGGUAUACAUAAUACUUUUUCAACAGGUACGAAGCUAUCAGAAGAUAGCAGGAAAUAUGGUUCUGAAAAGACUUGCACCAGUGGUAACACAUUGUCGAGAGCUGCACUGAGUUUUGGAAGAGCUCGGGCCCAAAUGGAAAAAGAGUGCGGAGUUCUACUUAAAGCCCUUGGCACACAGGUUUAAGUCAAAUUAUUACUAACAAUGGCUCAUUAAGUAAAAAUCAAAUAUUGCCAGGGCCAGUUUCAUACAAAUGGAAUUUCAACUGACUAAUUUUCGUGUGCAUUUGAUCAUUUCGAAAGAAAUUUACAGCAAAAAUUGUUUUCAUUUCCACGUCGUGGUUCAAGAAUUGGACUACUUUUUGUGUUUCUAUGCAUCGUAUGACAAACUGGCUCACCAUUUCUUUCUAUAGGUUUGCAUAAUAACUCUUUGUGUGCUUAUCAAUUUGCCUGUGUAGGUUGCAUAGCCUUUAUAGUGGGAGCGCCCAUGGAGGAUGCUCGACAUCUUGCUCAACGUUAUGCUAGAAUGCGGCAAGAAGCUGAAGCUCAGGUAUAUGCAGUUUCUUCUGUUUCCUACCAAUUUUAUUCUACAGUGAUUUUAUAUCCAAAACAAGCAUUGACUUGGCUGUCCAUCCAUCAAUAGCAGGUCCACAUCUCAACCCAAAUAUAAUGACGUCAAAGGAGAGGGGAAAAUGAGAAGGAAACUCUGGAGGGUAGAGGGAAGGAAAAGGAGAAAAGGAGAAAGGGAGAAGGGAAAAGUAGAACGGGAAGGAGGAAAAUGAGAGGAAAUUUCGGAGAAUAGAGAAAAGGAGAAGGGAAAAGAAGAAAAGCAGAAAAGAAGGGAAAAGGGGAAGGAAGCUUAGGAGGCUAGAGAAAAAGAGGGAAAUGCAUAAAAAUAAAAAAAUAAAAAAGGAAAGUCGCCUUCAUCAUUAUGUCUACUAACGGAAAGGAGCAACCACAUUGUAAAUUAUACUAAAAAUAUGACUUUAACCCCUCAAACUCAAUUUCUUUCAUAUAAAACCCGACAUAACAUUUUUACUCGAAUAAAACCCAAUGACUAGACUUCACAUAAGCAAAUUCAUUAAUUAUGACAUUUUAAAAAUUUCUAAUGCCUAAAAUACCCCUGUUUGCAUGUUUAAUGUGCACAAUUAAACAUAUGCAGAUUUUAAGGAGGAUUAAUGAUUUUACAAAAAUAAAAUAAUAAAAAAGGCACAAAUAUUCUAAAUGCAUUGCAUGUUAUAUGAAUUUGGUUGAUUCAUGUUUCUCUCACUUCAUAAAAUUUGCUUCUAAUUUGAUAUAGGAAUUAAUUUGGAAAGUUUUCUUAAUCUUAAUAACAAUUUUCAAUUUAAAUAUAUUUUUUAAUGAAAUAGUCUAUCUUUUAAAAUAAUUAUCAAUAAAAUAAUGAAAUAGUCUAUCUUUUCAAUUUAAAUAAUGUACCUGUUAUUUAAUUUUUACAACACUAAUGUAUCUUAAAAAAUAAUUUACUUAUUGUUUAGUUUUAGCAAAAAUAAUUUACCUACUGUGUAUAAUUGGUGAAGCUAAUGAUGUACAUAUUGUUUAAUUUUUUAAAAAUUAAUGUAUGUACAAAAAUAAUUUAUCUAUUGUUCAAAUUUUAGGAUAAAAAUUUACAUGUUUUUAUUUAACAAUAAUGUAUCUACAAUUUAUUUUUGUAUGAAUAUAAUUUACCUACUUUUUAAUUUUAUAUGAAACUAAUUUACCUACUGUGUCAGUAAUGUAUCUACAAUUUUACAUACAAUAUUUACCUUCUUUUUUUUUUUCACAACAAUAGUGUAUCUACAAUUUUGUUUUUGUAUGAAUAUAGUUUACCUACAAUUUAACUUUUCAAAAAAUGUAUCUUCUAUUUUAUAGUUUACUAUCAUAUAUAUGUUUAUGUGUUCGCAAAAUAAUUUAUCUAAAGUUAUAUAGUUAAGAGAUAUGCUAAUGAAUUAUAUUAAUUCAUUAUUAGACUGAUAUAAGAAAUUGUUAAAAACGUUAGCCAUAAUGGUUGGCUAAUAAUGGUUGUAUGAGAACAGUUAUAGAAAGUUGUGGCAUAAAUUGUAAAUAACUUAUAUUAAUAGGUUACUUAUUUUCUUAUUUGGUAAUUUAUUUAAAUUUUGGGUUUUGAUUGAAUGUUUAUUCAUAGGUGGGUUUUUAUCUGAAGUAUAUGAGUUGUAUGGGUCUAUAUCUAAACAACCCUAAAUUAUAUUUUGUAUAAUGAGAAACCAGUAUUCCUACCCCGAGGGUAUAGACACAACUUACUAAAUCUCGUUACUAUACAGCAAGCUUAUAAUUGCGCAAUAAUUCGAUCAACCAUCUUAAGUUCAACCAUUCAUGUAACAAGAUUCAAGUUUUCUAAACUUUCCUUAUUAAGGUAACUGAACAUUACAAGUGCCACGUUAUUAUGCGGUUCUAUCAAGUUUUAAUUUUUGUCUCAUAACCACAUCAUCUUUAGGACAAUCAUCUUGUAGUUGAAUAUAUAAACCUUCGAUAUGGCGAUAUUGGAAACGCUUGUUGGUGGGUUGAUUGGUAGAAAUGGUUCCAACAAUUCAAGGAUGAGAAAUGAGCAUUGAGCAACGAACAAAAUAUAUUGUAUUUUAUCACAAAAGAUGUUUGUGCAAUUAAAAGUGCAUUUUAUCACAAAGAGGUGAGCAACGAUCAAUAUAAUUGUUAUUUAUAAAAGGGAACAUUAACAAAAGUUUCCGGUACUGUUUAUUUUAAUAAAAAAUUACAUUUUUACAUUAAAAGUCAAUACUGAUACUAUUUAUUUUACCCUUUAUUUUAUCUUUAUUAUUAAAACUCAAAAUUUUUAAAUUUCUUUUAUUAAUUUUUUUUUUAUAAAAUCACACGUAAAACAAGAAGUAAUCUUUUCUUUUUCUUUUCGUCUCUGCCACAAGCGGCCGACCAUGACUUAAACAAACGCUUUUUGGGUGGGUCAAGGUAUGGGAACGACCCAUUUUAUAUGUUACAUGGUUGUGCAAUUAAAAGUGCAUUGUAUCAUAAAAAGGUGAGCAACGAUCACUAUAAUUGUUAUUUAUAAAAUCACACAAAACACAAGAAGGAAUCUUUUCUUUUUCUUUUUCAUCUCUGCCACUACCAGCCAUGACUUAAAAGAAACGUUUUUUGGUUCAAUGGAUGGGAACGGCCCAUUUUAUAAUAAGGAAAAUUAAUAAAAAAAAAUUUUAAAUUUAAAUUUUAACGAAAAUAAUAAAAAGAUGUUGUAAGUGAAUAAUACAUGAUUGAUUUUUUUGAAUAAAAAAAUAUAUAUUGUUUUAAAUAAACAGUAUUAGGAGUGUUUGGUUCAAAUCCCUUUAUAAUAUUGUUCGUAAAUUUUUCUGGAAGUAGAUGGAAAUGACCCAAUUACAUAUUUCCCCUGCUCACAGACAUUUUCAUUGCACCUAGAAAACCAGUUUUUUGUUAGAAAAUCGAUCCACAUCAAUGGCUCUUGUGAGAACAUCUCCAGGAACCUCCUCUGAUUCCAACACUUUUCGGAGUUAUCGCUACAACGUGUUCUUGAGCUUCAGAGGCGAAGAUACUCGCAAGACUUUUACCGACCACCUCUACACAGCCUUGAACAACGCAGGAUUUCUUACGUUCCGAGACGACGAUGAACUUGAGAGAGGAGAAGAUAUAAAGCCAGGACUGCAGAAAGCGAUCCAGCAGUCACGAACUUCUGUUGUCGUGUUUUCGAAAGAUUACGCUUCAUCCAGGUGGUGUCUUGAUGAGCUUGUGCUGAUCCUUGAACGCAAGAGGACCACCUCGGACCAUGUAGUUUUACCAGUCUUCUACGAUGUCGAUCCGUCCCACGUGAGGAAGCAGACAGGAAGUGUUGGAAAAGCAUUUGCUAGAAGCCAGAAAAAUCAGUCGUCGGAAAAGGUGGAGGGAUGGAGGAAGGCACUUGCAGAGAUUGCAGACCUAGCAGGCAUGGUCUUACAAAAUCAAGCUGAUGGGUAACUUUCAUUAUCUCCAUUUCUCUUCUCUUUCUUGGGUCAAUUUGAUGUAUGAUCCGUGGUGACCUAGAUUUUUAUAUGUUUAUUAAUUCAAUCUCAGUAGUGAAUAAUAAUCUCAAUUUAGGUCAACUUAAAGAAAUCACACUCAACUCAACUUAAGGAUUAGUCAUUUUCCAUGUUAAUCUACUGGUUUCCAGUUGCUUAAAUUUUUUUGAAAGCUGGUGUGGAAAAAAGUUAGGAUGUGAUCUGUCAUGUAUUUGUCUAUAGUUUGUAUAAAUUAUGCGCUGUAUUCCUUUCUUUUUUUUUCAAUUUAAUUUUGUCAGCAGUCCCUUUUUUUUUUUUUUUUUCUUAUUUAAAUAAAGGCAAUCAACAUAUGUUUGAAGGGAACUUUAACGAAAAGCUCCCAGUACUGUUCACUUUAACGAAAAACCACAUUUUUUCACUAAAAAGUAAAUCCUGAUACUAUUUACUUUAUCCUUUAUUUUGUAAUUAUAUAUUUUCCCAAUUCAUUUUUCGUUUUGUUUGCAAAUUCUUAGGUACGAGUCAAAGUUUAUCAAAAAAAUUGUUAAAGUGAUAGGAGACAAGUUAAGUCGCACGCCAUUGAGUGUUGAACCAAAAUUGAUUGGAAUUCAAUCUCAAGCCGAACGCAUCAAUUUGUGGUUCCAAGAUGGAUCAAGUGAUGUUGGUAUAUUUGUUGUGUAUGGCAUGUCUGGAAUAGGGAAGAAAACCAUUGCAAAACAUGUUUACAAUUCAAACUUUGGAAGCUUUCAAGGAAGUAGUUUCAUUGAAAAUAUCAAAAAAACAGCAGAUCGACCAAAUGGCUUAGUUCAAAUACAAAUGCAACUUCUUUGUGAUAUUUUGAACGGCAGAGAAGUGAAAAUACACAGUGUUAGUGAGGGAAUAAUUAAGAUUGAAAGGGCCAUAAGCUCUAAAAGAGUUCUACUUGUUCUUGAUGAUGUUGACCAUAUGGACCAAUUAGAUGCAAUCCUAAGGAUGAAAGAUCAGUUUUAUCCUGGAAGUAAGAUACUAAUAACAACUAGGUGUGAAAGGUUGUUAAAGGCUGAUCAAGUUACAGAGGUGCACAGAGUUCAAACUUUGGAUGACAAUGAAUCAUUAAAGCUUUUCAGUUGGCAUGCUUUUGGCCAGGACCAUCCCAUAGAAGAAUACAUGGAGCACUCAAAACAGCUAGUGCAACAUAGCGGCGGACUUUCAUUAGCUCUAAAAGUUUUGGGUUCUUCUUUAUCAGGAGGAAGUAUAGGUGUAUGGGAAAGUGCAUUGGAGAAGCUAAAAGUUAUUCCUGAUGGUGAAAUCAUGACUAAACUAAGAAUAAGCUAUGAAAGUUUAAGUAAUCUAUCAUACUUGCGAAGACUACAUUUAGAUGAGAAUCCAAUUUGCAGUCUGCCAGUUUUCAUCAAAGGUUUGAGGAGGAUCGAUGAACUCUCUUUCUGGGGUUGUGAGAGGCUCGAAUCGCUUGUGGGGUUGCCGGAAGUGCACCAAAAGAUAAAUAUAGUCAGAUGCAUAUCAUUAAAAAAAAUAACUUAUCAUUCCCCUCCGCGACCGGUUACAAUACAUUUGCGUGACAACUGGAAUCUUGUUGAGUGGGAGCACUAUUACAAGUUAGAGCCUAUUGAUAGAGUUGAUGUGGAAAUGAUCAAACUUUUGGGCUUGUGCAACUUGGAAUCCAUGCCAGCUGUUCGAAUGCGUUAUCCUUCCUACACAAACGGGGUUCCAAAAGAGGUCCCCGUCCAGGUGCGCCUCUUUUUCUCUCUCUCUCGUAAGUCUUAAAUAUAUAAUGGGAAAGAAAUGACUGAGUAAUGUUGUGAUGACUGUGGCAAAUACAUAGGGACUGUAUCAACAUGGUAUAUUCAGCACAUUUUUUGUUGGGAAUGAGGUUCUAGACCUGUUCAGCUAUAAAAGUACCAAGUCUUCGAUAUCUUUUAUUGUCCCUAUACUACUUGCUAGUCACAGAAUUCGAGGCUUGAACAUCUUUGCUACCUAUGCAAAGGAAAAUUCAAAUAAUUAUUCUAGUGGACCUAAUAUUGGUCCAAUAAUGAUCAAAGUGAGAAACAAGAGUAAGGGUUUGAAGUGGAUCUAUUCCCCAGAGUUCUAUGGAAUUCCAGGGGACGGAGAGGAAAUGAUAUGGUUGAGCCAUUGGAAGAUGGAGAAUAAAACAAUAUUACAAUGUGGAGAUGAAGUGGUGGUUUCGGUAAUAACCGGACCACGUGACUUGUUUUCGGUAAAGGAGUUUGGUGUCGAGCUUGUGCAAGAGCACCAAGACAAGAUGGGUACCCAACACAACACCAAAUCCGAUCCUAAUUAUCCAUUUGUUAUCGGUGGAGAUUUGAAGACGUUUGACUGCAAACCGGGAAUAUACUUCCUUGGCAAUUAUGAAAGAAAAGAUAUUGAUGACAUUGAUAUCCUCACCAUGGACUCUGAUGAAGAAGACACAAGUAUGUUGUGUUGUUGUAUUGCAUUGAAUUAUACUCCAUCCAAACACUUACAGGUGCGUCCGUAUUCAUUUCAAAAAUGUUACCAAUAAAUUUUAUGUUAUUUGUAUGUUUUUCAGACAAAGAAGGACAAGAGGAUGAACCUGAUUACACAUGUGCAAAGACGAGGGCUGCUAGCAAUAACUACUGCCUGAGAGGCUGGAAGGUGCUCCUCACAUUUGUCGGCUUCUUUUUUGCGCUUGCUCUAGUAGGUUGGUCCUCCAUCUCCCAAAAAAGGAAUCGACACUAGUCCACAAGCCCACCAUGAGUUUGUAAUUUGACUUGAUAUAGAUAUAUCUUUUCAUUCCUUGCUCUCAAGAUGUUUUCUACCUUCAAAACUUCAGCUUCAAAGCUAAGCACUCUUAACUGCUUGAGAUAUUAAAGCCCCUUGCAACUAGAUACCGAAGUUCAAAUGUGUUCAACGCCAUCAAAUAUAGCAUAAAAUACAUCCAGCAUUAGCUAUACUAGCAGAGUAGCGGUAAAUAAGUAAAACAAGAUUUAUUUUGGAGGGGGGGGGGGGGGGGGCGGGGAUUAUUUCGGCACCGGGGAAAGCAAAAACAUCCAAUCUGCUUAUAAAUGACAAAGUUACAAAUCUUAAUUGUCGUUUACAACAAAAUCAUUCUUAAAGACUCGGCUCCCCAUUGAAAUUGUGUAAAUUGCAUAAAUAUCAAUACAACAGAUAUUAGAUAGAAUAAUAUAUAUCAAAUAAAUUAACGACAGGCAAUUUCAAAAGCUUUAAAUGCAAUCUGAAUACAUGGCAAGUAGGGGUAAACAUGUGAACAGAAAAAUCAUUAACAAUUUCAAAAGCUUUAAAAACCGAAAACUCUAAACUAUAGACUAAAUAUUAAAAAGUGAAAUUGAAAUGGGCUCUCAACAAAAUUGAAAAAAGACCGGGAUGAAUUGGUGAAUUCAAAGCAGGCCUUGUUAAUGCUACGAGGCCCAAUGGGAUCCGCAUAAAUAUUUUUCGUUAUUAUUAUUUUAUUUUUAACAAACGAUAUUAUUUACGUGAGUUUAGUGUCAUAAUGGAUUAUCAAUAAUAUGGUUCAAAUUCGUUUUUGGCAAAAAUUGAACCUAUUCUACUUACAAAUGAAGAAGAAUACCAUUAGACUUUAGUACUAAGUGGUUUGUUAUUUUAUUUAUAUUUUAUGGAAAAUGAAAGAAAGCAAUGAACAGCUGUACGUAAACUAAAUACAUCAAGGAAUGAAAUGAAGAGGAGUGGGAGACUAACGUUAGAAAGGUAAACGCACCACGACGGCGGCGACAUGGCGGUCAUUUAACGGAAAAUAACAGACAAAUCAGCCUCCAGAUCAAGUGUUGAAGCAAAACUCUGAAAGAUCGAGACUACCUACAGCUGAGCUCCAACCGACCAACCGUUGAUGGAGGCAAUCAGGAAGCUCAGAGAUCAGGUCGCCAAGCAACAGCAGGUACUCUCUCUUGUUUGAUUCCGAAUUUGUAUUUAUGGAUUUUGAUAUGAACAUAAUCUGCGUUGAUUGCGAGAUACUGAGAUUGCUUAAUGAAAUAAUAUUUAUAUAAUUGUUCGAAUUGAAUUGGAUCGAUUCGAGUAGAAUUUCACUAUUUCUGAGCUGUUUGGGGCUGUGUUGGAGUGCAAUGUUGCUGAAUUUCUGAAAUUUUGUGCUAGGCGUUGCUAAUUGCUUAUCGAUUUUCGGAUUUAAUUGGAUGCUUAAUUUUUACAUUUUCGAAAAACUUCAAGCGAAAAUGGCAUAUAAUUCAACGUUCUAUGCUUUGUUAAUGCAUAAGAGUUAGUCGAAGUUUUAUCGAGUUUGCUUUUGAUUAUUUUGUGAACACCGUCAGGCUGUGUUCAAACAAUUUUCUGGUGGCAUAUACGGGGGAUCGGAUAAUGUUGCCUCGGAUGAAAAUGAAUUUCAACAGCAUCAGAAACUCGAGAAGCUGUACAUAUCAACUCGUGCUGCCAAGGUUGCUACGCUUAUUUUUGUCUGUGCUUUAAACGAGCAUCACGUUAGUUGUGUUACCUAUCGUUUUUUGCUUCUUUUUUAACAGCAUUACCAAAAGGAAAUUGUCCGCGGAGUGGAAGGUUACAUUGUGGCCAGUUCAAAGCACGGUGAAAUAGGUAUGUUGCUUGAAAUGCAUUGUCUUUUCUUGGGAGUUUGGAUAAAUUCAUGUUGGUUUUAUCAGUUGGUAUACAUAAUACUUUUUCAACAGGUACCAAGCUAUCAGAAGAUCGCAGGAAAUAUGGUUCUGAAAAGACUUGCAGCAGUGGUAACACAUUGUCGAGAGCUGCACUGAGUUUUGGAAGAGCUCGCGCCCAACUGGAAAAAGAGUGCGGAGUUCUUCUUAAAGCCCUUGGCACACAGAUUCAAGUCAAAUUAUUACUAACAAUGGCUCAUUAAGUAAAAAUCAAAUAUUGCCAGUGCCGGUUUCAUACAAAUGGAAUUUCAACUGACUAAUUUUCAUGUGCAUUUGAUAAUUUCGAAAGAAAUUUACAGUAAAAAUUGUUUCCAUUUUCACGUGUGGUUCAAGAACUGGACUACUUUUUGUGUUAUUAUGCAUCAUAUAACAAACCGGUUCACCAUUUCUAUCUAUAGGUUUGCAUAAUAACUCUUUCUGUGCUUAUCAAUUUGCCUCUGUAGGUUGCAGAGCCUUUAAAAGCAAUGAUAGUGAGAGCGCCCUUGGAGGAUGCUCGACAUCUAGCUCAACGAUAUGCUAGAAUGCGGCGAGAAGCUGAAGCUCAGGUAUAUGCAGUUUCUUCUGUUUCCUACCAAUUUUAUACUACAGUGAUUUUAUAUGUUACAUGGUGAUCGUACAUUUUCUCGGUUAACUUUUUUUGUUUUCUUUUAUAAGUGUUUGUUCAUUUUGAGACAAUCAUGCAUUGGUAUUCAUAGAGAACGCAAAAUCUUAAGAUAUUUAAUGUAAACUUGUUGAGAUUGCUUCAUUACUUGAAGCUUUGUUGUAAUUUGGUUUUUGGUUUUUUUAUUACUCCUUCAGAUUUGUCUAUAUAUACUAACUUGCACCGGGAUAGGCUAUAGAUGCUUCCAGACACUAGACCAAAGCACCGGAUUCUGCAGGUAAUGCUGAUAUUAUCAUGAAACUAGAAGCUGCUGAAGCCGAGCUUCAGGAGCUGCAGUCUAGCGUUGCAAUAUUGGGAAAAGAAGCUAGUGCAGCUAUGGCUGCUGUUGAAGGUCAACAACAAAGAUUGACUCUUCAGCGGCUUCUUGCGAUGGUAACGGAUUGCCUUCCCCUUUUUAUUUAAGUAUUAAGACCUUGGCCUGUUCUAGUUACAAGAAUAAAAAGGUCGUACCCAGUGCACAAGGCUCCCGCUUUACGCAGGGUCUGGGAGAGAUGAAUGUCGGCUAGCCUUACCCCCAUUUAUGAAGAGGCUACUCCCAAGGUUCUAGUUACAAGAAUGAAAAGGAAAUUAAUUUUGUAAAUUUAUCAUUUUUCGUCCCCAUUCCAGGUUGAAGCAGAGCGCAACUACCAUCCAAACAUUCUUCAGAUACUUGAUCAGCUUGAAGGCGAGGUGUGAAAUAUCCUAAAGUCUUCCUUUCAGCGUGACAAUUUCUUUUCCCAAUUCAUUUGGCUGUAUAUUAUUCUAGUGUCUUGCUACUAAAAGAAGAGAUCAUUGACACUAUUUGUUGGGACAGAUUUUGUCAGAAAAGCAGCGAAUUGAAGCAUCGCAUAGUCCGCCUACAGAGGACGCUAUGCCUCCACCACCAUCGUAUAAGGAUCUCAGCCGUAGCUUUGCUUCUGAAACCUAUGAUGAAUUGACAGAGUUGAGGGACUCUUUCUUAGGAGAGGUAUCUUUAUGCUAAUGUUGUUGUAUCCAAGUUUUAGUCUGUUCGACUCUUUAGUUUCUAGUAACUGUUUCUUUUCGCCUACCGCAGGUAAUGUACACCUUCCACACUGUAACUGAUGUGGAGUUAAGUUUGUCAUUCGGGGAUUACGUUGUCGUCCGGAAGGUUCUGUCAUCUUUCCUGCUUGCAUGCUUUCAUCUUAUAUUCAUGUUCGGAUUUAUUUCUUUCGUAUUGAGGUUAAAUUUUCAUGUUCAGAGACGUUCACUCAGGUAUGUUCGUCAAUGCAUAUGCAUUAGCACACCACCGAGUGUAUUAGAAUAUGGAUUUCAGUUUUGGGUGCUGCAUGCAUUAAUGUAGUUUGUGUGGUUUUGGUUAUUGCUGCCGCUGAGCGUGAGUGGCUUUCUGUAGUUGCUGAGAGUUAUAUUGUGAGCAUAAUUCAUACAGCAGCUUUCAUAUACGGCACAUGUAGUCGGCACUGCAUUUAGAAAGAGAAAGUUAUAUUUUCUUCACUGUCUAUUCAAAACUGUUGAUUGAUAAUAAUUGACUCAAGUGAAUGCCACAUCAUCUGCCACAUCAUCUGCCAUGUCAUUCAUAUUUCUGUUUUGAAACCUGUUGUUCCCUUGAUAGCCUUGAAUAUCACCAAUUCGGGAUCCUGCAUUUGAACUCUCUCCUUGUGAAUACCCGGAAUUCUGAUGACCACCUGUGACCUUAUCUCCUUGAACAUACAUUGCAGCCAUGCCACUUGCCAGCGUAGAGACCCUUGCUUCCAUAGCAGAUUCAACACCAAUCAACUGCGCUCUGAAAUCUUUCAGCGGAAUAGAAGUCUCCCUUGCUAAAACUACAGCCUUGACAAUAUCAAACUCCGGUGGUAAUCCAGAUAAAGCAGUAAUAACAAAAUCAUUAUCAGUAAUCCUCUCCCCUGCAGACACAAGCUGAUCCCGAAUGGCUUUCAACCGAAGCAAAUACUUGUCAAUAGAAUCACUGCCUUUUUGAAUUGUAUGAAACUCAAUUUUGAGUUGAUUAAUCCUAGCCCUGGACACAGACGCAUAGCGGUCUUGUAAAUUUAUCCAAGCUUCAUGAGACGUUUUACACCCUAUUACAUAUUCCAUAGCAUCAUCCGACAAAGUAGCAAUUAACAGACUCAAUAGGGCCAUAUCUUUCUGAACCCAAGAUUUAUAAGCUGCUGUGAUUUCUGUAGUCACUCCAUUCUCAGUGUUAACCACAAACUUUGGUGGACAAGGAGACUCACCAGUAAAGAAUUCAAAGAAAUCAUACCCUCGUAAAACCGACUGAAACUGAUAAUUCAACUUAACAAAAUUGUCAUCUUGCAACUUCACAGUCAACAUACCAAGCAAACUUUCAAUGCGUACUGAUUUAUCAGACAUCUUUAUCACAAAGUACUGACAAGAAAUCAAUCUCAAUCACAAAUAUGUUUAACUCCAAACUUCAACAAUGAUCACCUCUUCAAUAUAUUCUCACUACUUCUUGGCAUCGGCCUUCUAUAUGUAUAUACUUCAAAAGCUGAAAUUCCAGCAAUUUCGCAAAUGAACAACUGUAAUCAUAUCACACCACAACUAUAAUUCGUCUAUCUUCAACAAAUCUUGGCAUCAGCCUUAAUCAAAUCCAACACAUAACCCAUAUAUGAAAAACCAAAGAAAACAUUCCAAUUCACCAUAUAUCUUCACUGAAGCAAAAACGCAAACACUUGAUGUGCAAAGAAUAAGGAAAGAAACCAACAACUUGAUUGAAUGACCCUCAACCCAAAAUUCAUCAGCAAGCGUUCAAGCACUUCACCAAUCCUCCAAGAACUCCACCACAGCCUUCAACGAUCGAUCCCAAAGAAUUUCUCAGCGGAAGAAAAUACCCAAAAAAAAAAUCAACCUUGGCUCGAUACCAUCUUAACCAAGAAGAUCAGACUUGCAGAAAGAAAAAGAAAGAAACAAUACAGAGAAUAUAGAAGAAAACUUAGAAAGAAUAUGAAAGGUUUUGUAUUGAUAGAAUGAUAUUUUCUUACAAACAAUAAGCUGCAAUCAGCUUUUUAUAUCCCUAUAGUAGCCUAACUACCUUGCUUACUGUGUAAGCUACACAGCACCAUCCUAACUAACUUUCAACAGAAAUAUGAAUGACAUGGCAGAUGAUGUGGCAGAUGAUGUGGCCUUCACUUGAGUCAAUUAUUAUCAGUCAACAAAAACUUAUAUGUUGCAUGUUCUGGCUUUUAAAGUGAGUCGGCAUCAGAGUUUUUAUUUGAGAAAAAUCAGUUUUGUGUCCAUGUGUUUUCAAAGAAAAUAUUUUUGUUUUUAAUCACUGAUUUUUCAUUGUGCUUCAAUUAGAAAUCAAUUAUGAGAAUCUGCCUUGUGAUUUUCGUAAUUGGUUGAUUUCAAAAAAUCAUUACAUUUCAUACAUUCUGCAUGAUCGCGUUAGUAUCUUGCAAAGUUCGAGGACACAAUGAUUGACGGUCGCGUUAGUGUCGUGCCACUUUCACUUGAAGGCUGAAGAGAUCAAGUAGCAAAGCGCAAUGAAAAAAAUUGCCUACUAGUAUGUGGGUCUAGUUAAUGAGUUUUGUAAGUCUUUCCAUACUCAUUUCUCUUAUUGUUUGUUCUAGCUUAAGAGUCUGAGGAUUUUCUCAGUGGUGAGUUUUACCUUGUUUAAUUCUACAUCAUGUGUACACAUGUUAUUUGUCUUUUUAUUGCAAAUGUGUAGGAUAAUCUUUCACUUAUUUUCUUAUAGUGAACUCUAUCUUAGACAUUCAUCAACAUAUAGAGUUUACGACAGAGGACUUUUGCUACCAUAUUAUUCAGUGCAUUGAUUAAUUUGUAAAGCUCUCAUUUAUCCAAAUUAUAAAAUAUAAUCUGUACAAGACAUUAAAAAAAUGGAAGUGUCUUUCAACAGUUUGGAUGUCAUGUAUGGCCAUAUCCUUUAUUUCCAGAGUAAUGUUAUUCAUACCAUGUUUUUAUACCACAUUUAUAUACCACCUUAGGUGGCAUCUGAUGUGGACAACCACAUUAUUUGAAAAAUUUGCAAAACUCGAGAAAAUGAAGGAGAAAUACUCCUUGUAUGCCACAAUCAUAAUUUAAUUAACUAGUUUUUCUUAAUUAUUAGUUUAUUAAAUAAUGAACUAAAUUUAAAAAUCUGAUUAAUUGAAAUGAUGUGUCUGUUCACAUCAAAUGCCACCGAAUAUGGUAUGAAAAUAUUGUACAAAAACAUAAUAUAAAUAACAUUACUCUUAUUUCCACCAUUCUUAUCAACUGGAUGGGGAUAUAAAGACAUAAUGUGGCAAUCGUCCAUUAGAAAGGUAAUGUACGUUUUGAAAAUCGUGGCAAAUAUUGAAUGAGUAAUGACGCCUCUAAAAAUAAAAUUUAGUUAUUUGAAAGAAUCUUUCAUAAAAUAAAGUAACGAAUAAUCAACAAAAGUAGCAGUACACCAAGUUGAACCUUUUUCAACGUUGAAAUGAAAUAUGAAAGGAGAUCAAGUUGAUAUUAUUCAUCUACUUUUUUUUUUUUAAUAAACGAUAUUGUCUACGUUAAGAAAAUGGACUUGGCUAAGCCUCACAAUGGACUAGCAAUAAUAUGAUUCAAAUUCACAUUUAGCAAGAAUCAAACCAAAAGAAGAGAAAUAUUAUUAGACUGUAACAUUAUUCAUCCACUUUUAAAUAAUAAACAAUCAAGAAAAACACUGCACGCAGUCCCCUCUCGUCACUUACCACUAGUGCCAUCACUUCCCUGAGCAAAAGAGAUAUUUCCAAUUGCUUGACCAAAACAAGCAUUGAGUUCAUCCAUCAAUAACAGGUCCACAUCUCAACCCAAAUAUAAUGACGUCAAAGGAUAGGGGAAAAUGAGAAGGAAACUCUGGAGGGUAGAGGGAAGGAAAAGGAGAAAAGGACAAAGGAAGAAGGGAAAAGUAGAAAGGGAAGGAGGACAAUGAGAGGAAAUUUCGGAGAAUAGAGAAAAGGAGAAGGGAAAAGUAGAAAAGGAGAAAGGAAGGGAUAAGGGGAAGGAAGCUUAGGAGGGUAGGUAGAAGAAUGCAUAAAAAUAAAAAAUAAAAAAUAUAAAAGGAGAGUCGACUUCACCAUUAUGUCUACUAGCGGAAAGGAGCAACAUUGUAAAUUAUAUUUCGUAUAAUGAGAAAUUAGUAUUCCUACUUGAGGAUAUGACACAACUUGCCGAAUCUCGUUACGAUGCAGCAAGUUUAUAAUUGCACAACAAUUUGAUCAACCAUCUUAAGUUCAAGCAUACAUGUAUUAAGAUUCAAAUUUUUCCAGAUUUUCCUUAUGAAACUAACUGAACAUUACAAGUGCCACAUUAUUAUACGGUUCUAUCAAGUUUUAAUUAUUGUCUCAUAACCACAUCAUCUUUAGGACAAUAAUCUUGCGGUUGAAUAUAAAAACCUUCGACAUGGUGAUAUUGGAAACACUAGUUGGUGGGUUGAUUGGUAGAAAUGGUUCCAACACUUCAAGGAUGAGAAAUGAGUAUUGAGCAACGAUCAAAAUAUAUUGUAUUUUAUCACAAAAGAUGUGUGCAAUUAAAAGUGCAUUUUAUUACAAAAAAGAUGAGCAACGACCAAAAUAAUUGUUAUUUAUAAAAUCACACAUAAAACAAGAAGGAAUCUUUUCUUUUUCUUUUCAUCUCUGCCACUAGCGGCCGACCAUGACUUAAACCAUCUCCAACCCUUGGGCUAAAAGCCAAAUUUUUUAGCCCGGAAAAUUUAGCUUUUAACCUAGAAACAUCUUUCUACUCCAACCCUUCUACCCUAAAAUUUUAGCCCGGAAUUAUUAAAGAAUGAAAUUAGCCUAAAUUUUUUUCUUAAAUCAAUUUUUUUUUUAAAAUAAAUAUGUAGAUUAUUGUAAAUUAAUUUUAUGAACAUUUUAAUCUAAAAAAAUUUAAAUUCCGAUAAACAUUUCGCAUUUAGCCCGAGGAAAGCUGGGGGUAUUUGGCCCAGAAAUAGCAUUUAGCAUUUAGCCUAAAAUUUUAGCAUGGGUUGGAGAGUGUUUAGGGGGUAAUUUGGUAGGUAAUUUGGCUUUUAGCCGAAAUGGUCUUAAAGAAACGCUUUUUGGGUCAAUGGAUGGGAACGACCCAUUUUAUAAUAUUGUUUGUAAAUUUUUCUGGAAGUAGAUGGAAAAGACCGAUGUACAUAUUUCCCCUGCUCACAGACAUUUGCAUUGCACCUAGCAAACACCAGUUUUUUUGUUUGAACAUCGAUCCACAUCAAUGGCUCUUGUGAGAACAUCUCCAGGAACCUCCUCUGAUUCCAACACUUUUCGGAGUUAUCGCUACGACGUGUUCUUGAGCUUCAGAGGCGAAGAAACUCGCAAGACUUUUACCGACCACCUCUACACAGCCUUGAACAACGCAGGAUUUCUUACGUUCCGAGACGACGAUGAACUUGAGAGAGGAGAAUAUAUAAAGCCAGGACUGCAGAAAGCGAUCCAGCAGUCGCGAACUUCUGUUGUUGUGUUUUCGAAAGAUUACGCGUCAUCCAGGUGGUGUCUUGAUGAGCUUGUGCUGAUCCUUGAACGCAAGAGGACCACCUCGGACCAUGUAGUUUUACCAGUCUUCUACGAUGUCGAUCCGUCCCACGUGAGGAAGCAGACAGGAAGUGUUGGAAAAGCAUUUGCUAGAAGCCAGAAAAAUCAGUCGUCAGAAAAGGUGGAGGGAUGGAGGAAGGCACUUACAGAGAUUGCAGACCUAGCAGGCAUGGUCUUACAAAAUCAAGCUGAUGGGUAACUUUCAUUAUCUCCAUUUCUCAUUUCUUUCUUGGGUCAAUUUGAUGUAUGAUCCGUAGGGACCUAGAUUUGUAUGUAUUUAUUAAUUCAAUCUCAGUAGUGAAUAAUAAUCUCAAUUUAGGUCAACUUAUAGAAAUCACACUCAACUCAACUGAAGGAUUAGUCAUCUUCAAUGUUAAUCUACUGGUUUCCAGUUGCUUAAAUUUUUUUGAAAGCUGGUGUGGAAAAAAGUUUGGAUAAAUUAUGCGCUGUAUUCCUUUCUCUGUAACUUGAUAUGUGAUGUAUUUGUCUAUAGUUCGUAUAAAUUAUGCGCUGUAUUCCUUUCUCUUUUUUUUUUCAAUUUAAUUUUGUCAGCAGUCCUCUUUUUUUUCUUAUUUAAACAAAGGCAAUCAACAUAUGUUUUAGUUAUCUAAUUUCCCCAAUUCAUUUUUCAUUUUGUUUGCAAAUUCUUAGGUACGAGUCAAAGUUUAUCAAAAAAAUUGUUAAAGUGAUAGGAGACAAGUUAAGUCGCAUGCCAUUGAGUGUUGAACCAAAAUUGAUUGGAAUUCAAUCUCAAGCCGAGCGCAUCAAUUUGUGGUUCCAAGAUGGAUCAAGUGAUGUUGGUAUAUUUGUUGUGUAUGGCAUGUCUGGAAUAGGGAAGACAACCAUUGCAAAACAUGUUUACAAUUCAAACUUUGGAAGCUUUCAAGGAAGUAGUUUCAUUGAAAAUAUCAAAGAAACAGCAGAUCGACCAAAUGGCUUAGUUCAAAUACAAAUGCAACUUCUUUGUGAUAUUUUGAAUGGCAGAGAAGUGAAAAUACACAGUGUUAGUGAGGGAAUAAUUAAGAUUGAAAGGGCCAUAAGCUCUAAAAGAGUUCUACUUGUUCUUGAUGAUGUUGACCAUAUGGACCAAUUAGAUGCAAUCCUAAGGAUGAAAGAUCAGUUUUAUCCUGGAAGUAAGAUACUAAUAACAACUAGGUGUGAAAGGUUGUUAAAGGCAGAUCAAGUUACAGAGGUGCACAGAGUUCAAACUUUGGAUGACAAUGAAUCAUUAAAGCUUUUCAGUUGGCAUGCUUUUGGCCAGGACCAUCCCAUAGAAGAAUACAUGGAGCACUCAAAACAGCUAGUGCAACAUAGCGGCGGACUUCCAUUAGCUCUAAAAGUUUUGGGUUCUUCUUUAUCAGGAGGAAGUAUAGGUGUAUGGGAAAGUGCAUUGGAGAAGCUAAAAGUUAUUCCUGAUGGUGAAAUCAUGACUAAACUAAGAAUAAGCUAUGAAAGUUUAAAAGAUGACCAUGACCGGAAAUUAUUCCUCCACAUUGCUUGUUUCCUAAUAGGAAGGAACAAAAGCUACAUUGUUAGAAUAUUCGAUGGAUGUGAUUUCUAUACAAUCAUUGGCAUGCAAAAUCUCAUUGAUAGAUGCUUGGUGACACUUGAUGAAUACGGCAAGGUGAAAAUGCAUGACAUGAUUCGUGCUAUGGGAAGAGAAAUUGUUCGCCAAGAAUCAGAAGAGCCUGAGAAACGUAGUAGAUUAUGGCGCCAUAAGGAUUCUUUCCAAGUAUUGAGGAAAAAGAAUGUAAGAAACAUGCCUUUUAUGUCUAUAUAUGUAUUUCUUCUUGUGAAAAUUAUGCAUAAUAAUGUCUUUUUUUUUCCUUUAGGGUACAAAAAAAAUCCAAGGUCUUGUCCUGGAUAUGCGUAAUCAUCCUGCAAACAAUCCAAUAAACACAAAUGAGAUAGUCUUGGAAACCAAUGCAUUUGCAAAGAUGCGUAAUUUACAACUACUCCAUCUUAGUCAUGUACGACUGGAUGGAUGUUAUGCAGAUUUCCCUACAGGAUUAAGAUGGUUGUGUUGGCUUGAAUUUCCUUUGGAUUCUAUACCAAUUGAUUUUCCUUUGGAGAACGUAAUUGUUCUUGAAAUGCAAUACAGUAGCUUGAGACAAGUAUGCAAAGGAACAAAAGUAUGUUACUCUAUACAUUUCAAUUCAUUUUACUUAUUUUGUUAGUUUUUUAUUUGUUGAGUAACUCCAUGUGUUAAAAUGAAUUACUAUGUUUUCUUUAAUUCGAUGACUAAUUUUUUAUGUUAGAUACUUAUUUCAUUGUUCUUUUUUCUUUUCUUUUUUUUUUCCUCUAUUUCCACAGUUUCUUCCAUCGUUGAAGAUCCUUGACAUCAGCCAUUCUCAAUGCCUUAGUGAAACCAUUGACUUCUUUUCCCCAAUCUAGAGGAACUGAUUCUUGUAGAUUGCACAAGCCUGAAGAAUGUUCAUGAAUCCAUUGGAAACCUGGAGAGACUCGUGUACUUGAAUAUGAAGGAUUGCAAGAAUCUUAGGAUGCUUCCGAAGAACAUGUGCAUGCUUAAAUCACUUGAAACACUCAUUUUAUCUGGUUGCUCAAAUCUUGAUGAGUUUCCAGUGGAGAUGAUGAAGAAGAUGGAGUCUCUGAAAGUUCUUCAGACAGAUGGAAUUGCAAUAGGUGAAUUGUCGCCAGAAAGAUGUUUGAGUUCUUUUCCAUGCUCUUUAGUAGAGUUAAGUCUGAAGGGGUGCAAUCUUUCUGAUGAUGUCUUUCUUACGGAUUUAAGUAAUCUAUCCUACUUGAGAAGACUACAUUUGGAUGAGAAUCCAAUUUGCAGUCUGCCAGUUUUCAUCAAAGGUUUGAGGAGGAUCGAUGAACUCUCUUUCAAGGGUUGUGAUAGGCUCGAAUCCCUUGUGGGGUUGCCGGAAGUACACCAAAGGAUGAGUAUAGUCGGAUGCAUAUCAUUAAAAAAAAUAACUUUUCAUUCCCCUAAGCAAUUGUAUCCAAUAUAUGUGGGUGACAACUGGAAUCUUGUUGAGUGGGGGUGCUAUUACAAAUUAGAGCCUAUUGAUAGAGUUGAUGUGGAAAUGAUCAAACUUUUGGGCUUGUGCAACUUGGAAUCCAUGCCAGCUGUUCAAAUGCAUUAUCCAGACUCAGACAGCGAUCCAAAAGAGGUCCCCGUCCAGGUGCGCCUUUCUUUCUCUCUCUCAUAAGUCUUAAAUAUAUAAUGGGAAAGAAAUGACUGAGUAAUAUUGUGAUGACUGUGGCAAAUACAUAGGGACUCUAUGAAUGUGGUAUAUUCAGCACGUUUUUUGUUGAGAAUGAGGUCCCAGGCCGGUUCAGCUAUAAAAGUACCAAGUCCUCGAUAUCUUUUAUUGUCCCUUUACUACUUGCUAGUCACAGAAUUCGAGGCUUGAACAUCUUUGCUACCUAUGCAAAGGAAAAUUCAAAUAAUUAUUUUACUAGACCUGGCAUUGCUCCAAUAAUGAUCAAAGUGAGAAACAAGAGUAAGGGUCUGAAGUGGAUCUAUGGCCCAAUAUUCUAUGGUAUCCCAGGUGACGGAGAAGAUAUGAUAUGGUUGAGCCAUUGGAAGAUGGAGAAUAAAACAAUAUUACAAUGUGGAGAUGAAGUGGUGGUUUCGGUAAUAACCGGACCAUGUGACUUGUUUUGGGUAAAGGAGUUUGGUGUCGAGCUUGUGCCAGAGCACCAAGACAAGAUGAGUACCCAACACAACACCAAAUCAGAUCCUAAUUAUCCACUUGUUAUCGGUGGAGAUUUGGAGACGUGGAAGUGCAGACCGGGAAUAUACUUCCUUGGUGGUCGGACAAGUACAGAUACUGACGACAUUGAUAUCCUCACCAUGGACUCUGAUGAAGAAGACACAAGUAUGUUGUGUUGUUGUAUUGCAUUGAAUUAUACUCCAUCGAAACACUUCCAGGUGUGUCUGUAUUCAUUUCAAAAACGUUUCAAUAAAUUUUAUGUUAUUUAUAUGUUUUUCAGACGAAGAAGGGCAAGAGGAUGAAUCUGAUUACACAAUUGCAAAAACGAGGGCUGCUAGCAAUAACUGCAGUUUGAGAGGCUGGAAGGUGCACCUCACGGCUGUCGGCUUCUUUUUCGCGCUUGCUCUAGUAAGUUGGUCCUCCCACUCCCGAAAAAAGAAGCGACAGUCGUCCACAAGCCCACCAUGAGUUUGUAAUUUGACUUGAUAUGGAUAUAUCUUUGCAUUCCUUGCUCUCAAGAUGUUUUCUACCUUCAAAACUUCAGGUUCAGAGCUAAGCAUUCUUAACCGCUUGAGAUAUAAAUGCCCUUUGUAACUAGAUACCGAAGUUCAAAUGUGUUCAACUCCAUCAAAUAUAGCAUAAAAUACAUCCAGCAUUGAAUGCAUGUGUUUUGAACUACAAGAAAUCUUAUACAUUGGGUAGACCGUAUAGUGUAUCACAUUCAAAUGCAAUUAUUCAUGAAGAUGAAGUAUGAGAUGCCCUAAUUGUUUUACCAGAAGAUGCUGGAUCAAUUGUCUCAAAAAAUUAUUUCGGUAAUUGUUGGUAAAACUCAAAGUUAUCCAAAAGUUUGGGGUCAGCAUAAGCUUAUGCAUCAGCAUCAGAUUGUGUCUCCUAUCAGACUGAAGGAAUAAAAUUACUCAAUUUGUGCAAAUAAAAAUAAAAAUUUUAUAACACAUCAAAGAGAUAAUUAAAGGAGACCUCACAAGCUGUACAUCCAAGUGGCAAACAAAUCAAAAUUUUAAAUAAAGCUAAUGGCGCAUGAAGAGUAUUGAAACACUCAUAGCCCUCGCACACAGGUUGCAUGGUCUUUUCUUAUAACAAUAAAAGGAACAAAUUCAUCAAGUCACAUUUGGGCCAUUAAAAAAAGCUACAAAUUCAUCUUUCCAUGUCUUUAUCUCACAAACCCAUAAUGUGGCAAUCCUCCAUUAGAAAGGUAACGUACGUUUUGAAAAACGUGGCAAAUAUUGAAUGAGUAAUGACGCCUCUAAAAAUAAAAUUGAAUUAUUUGAAAGAAUCUCUCAUAAAAUAAAGUAGGGGUAAAGUACAAAAAAUUACUUCAAAUAUUAGUCUCAUGACAUUGUCAUACUUCAUCUUUUAAAAUUGACAAUAUCAUACCUCAUCUUUAGAAUUUGGUCAAUUUUAUACCAUCCUUUAGCCUGACCGUUAAUUUGUCAGUUAAAUACUGACGUGGCUUGAUCCAAACCCCACUUUCUAUUAAAAAAUUAAGAAAAUAUUAAAAACCCCACCCCCUAUCUCUCCUCCCUCAUCUUCUUCCCCUGCUCUGCCCAGAAACGAAACGAACAAAAAAAAAAAAAAAAAAAUCAAAACCCAAUUCGUCCCCACCCCACCCCACCCCCUCUAUCUCCUCCCCCAUCUUCUUCCCCUGCUGCCCAGAAACGAAACGAAAAAAAAAAAAAAAAACUAAAAAUCAAAACCCAGGUCGUCCCCACCCAAGACUUGGGCUCGCACACCCAUGGCUCGCCGGACCUGGGUUGGGUGUCCUCUGGGUGCCUCGGAGCUUCACGGAGACGAAAAGAGAAAGGGUUGACGCCAAUGAUGGUUUUGGUACCGUCGUCGGUGGGUGUGGGUGUGUAAAUGGGUGCGUGAGUGUAGAUCUGGGAGAGGGGUAUAGUCUGUGCGAGAGAGGGGGAGAAAGAGUGAGUGAGCUGAGAGAGAGGGAGAUGUUGGCAUGGGUGGGGAAGGGUGGGGGGUUGCACGGAGGGGGAACGGGAAGGGGUCGGGGUGGGGGGGGGGGAGAUGAGAAUGGGUUCUGGGAUGCAGAGAAGAGAGAAAGGCGAGAGAGAAGGGGAGAGAGAGAGAGGAGAGAGAGAGAGAUUUAAUAUAAAAAUAAAAAAGAGAGGAGAGAGAGAGAUUUAAUAUAUAUUUUUUUAAUUUUUGAAUAUUUAAUUAUUAAAAAUGUAUUUUAUUAUUUUUUAAUCCAAUUGGAUUGGAUUAGUGAGUGGAACACGUGUCGGGCCACGUCAGUAUUUAACAGAAAAAUUAACAGAAAAACUGACGGAGGUGCGACAUUGACACAAAUUCCUAAGAUAAGGUAUGACAUUGUCAAUUUUAAAAGAUGAGGUAUGAAAGUGUCGUGACACCAAUAGUUGAGGUAGUUUUUUUAUACUUUACCCAAUAAAGUAACGAAUAAUCAACAAAAGUAGCAGUACACCAAGUUGAACCUUUUUCAACGUUGAAAUGAAAUAUGAAAGGAGAUCAAGUUGAUAUUAGUCGUCACUUGUAUUUUAUUUUUUUGAAUAAACGAUAUUGUCUACAUUGAGGAGAAUGAGUUCGUUAAGCCUUACAAUGGGCUAGUAAUAAUAUAGUUCAAAUUCGUAUUUGGCGAGAAUCAAAUCUAAAGUUUCUCACUUACAAAUGAAGAGAAAUAUCAUUGGACUAUAACAUUAUUCAUCUACUUAAAAAUAAUGAAUAAUCAAGAAAAACAUUGCACGGUCCCCCUCUCGUCACUUACCACUAGUGGCCAUCACUUCCUUGAGCAAAAGAGAUCUUUCGAAUUGCUUGACCAAAAUAAGAAUUGACUUGGCUGUCCGUCCAUCAAUAACAGGUCCACAUCUCAACCCAAAUAUAAUGACGUCAAAUGAGAAGGAAACUCUGGGGGGUACAGGGAAGGAAAAUGAGAAAAAGGGAAAAGUUGAAGGGGAAGGAGGAAAAUGACAGGAAAUUUCGGAGAAUAGAAAAAAGGAGAAGGGAUAAGAAGGAAAAAUGGGAAGGAAGCUUAGGAGGGUAGAGAAAAAGAGGGAAAUGCAUAAAAAUAAAAAAUAAAAAAGGAAAGUCGCCUUCAUCAUUAUGCCUACUAACGGAAAGGAGCAACCGCAUUGUAAAUUAUAUUUCGUAUAAUGAGAAACCAGUAUUCCUACCCCGAGGAUAUAGACACAACUUGCCGAAUCUCGUUACUAUACAGCAAACAUAUAACUGCACAACAAUUCGAUCAACCACCUUAAGCUCAAUCAUAAAUGUACCAAGAUUCAAGUUUUUCCAAACUUUCCUUAUGAAAUUAACUGAACAUUACAAGUGCCAUAUUAUUAUGCGGUUCUAUCAAGUUUUAAUUUUUGUCUCAUAACCACAUCAUCUUUAGGACAAUCAAUAUUGCAGUUGAAUAUAUAAACCUUCGAUAUGGUGAUAUUGGAAACACUAGUUGGUGGGUUAAUUGGUAGAAAUUGUUCCAACAAUUCAAGGACGAGAAAUGAGUAUUGAGCAACGAUCAAAAUGUGUUGUAUUUUAUCACAAAAGAUGUUUGUGCAAUUAGAAGUACACUAGAAAGUUUGCCCGAUCGUUGCUGCGGGAAUGUCAAAUAUAUUGUAAGUAUUGUAUAUAAAUGUUACAUAAGGGAACAAAUAUGUUGCAAGAAUUGUGUGUAGAAUUUAUAAAACACGUACCAAGUAUUUGCAUAAAAUUUAAAAUAUAUAGUUGUUACUUGUUCAAAUUAUAACAGCUUGUACAAACAUGAGUUUGAAAUUCACCUGCCUUAACUUCUCCACACUUUACACACAGAGACCCUUAUCUUUUUUGGUGGUUUAAAAGCUUGCAAAUCACGGGAGGCUGUCCAUUUUGUUACAAAGAUGCAGAACCAAAAUAUAUAUUUUAUCAAUUUUCGAGAGCAUAAAUGGACAAAUUAAAUUGUAUGUAAAGAAUGUGUAGCAAAAUAUCAAAUAGCAAAAGAAAUCUCAACAUAACUCUACCACAACAAUAAGGAAUCUCAAAUAGAAAAAAGGGAGACUUUGGAUGCGGUCCCUAGUUAUGAAUAGUCUUUGACUGAAACCUUGUUGGUUUUCAAUUUUUGAUCCAAGUCCCUGAAAUUAAUUGAUAAUUUAUUUCUAUGUACGUUACUAUAUUUUUUAAAUUAAAAAUUAAAAUUUAUAGUUGUUUAUAGUAAUGAGAUUUUAAAUAAAAAACCAUAAUUUGUGGGAUUAAAAAUAUUAAAAUAUAAAUAUACUAUUGUGUGUGUGUGUGUAAACAUGGGUACAUUCAUAAAAAAUAACCAAAAAAUUAUUGUAUCAAAACAUGGAUACAUUCUUCUUCAAAAUGGGUACAUUUAGCAAAAAUAAAAAUGGGUACAAAUAAAUAAAAAAAAUAUGGGUACAAUACAAAUAAAACUUUAAAAAAUAUGGGCACAAAAAGAAAUUAAUAUAUGGGUACAAAUUAAAACUGAAAGGAAAAUUGGUACAAAUUAAAAAAGGGUUGCAAAUUAAAAAUGGGUACAAACUAAAAAUAAAAAUAUAUGAUAAAAAAUUUAGCCAUAAAUAUAAAUAUACUAAUUGUAAUAUUUUUAAUAUUAAAUGAAUAUAUUUAGAAAUAAAAAAUAUUUUAUUAUUGAAAUAAUUAAUGAUAUUAUUAAUACAAAGGAUCUUGAUCAAAAAUUGAAAAGUAAUAAGGUUUUAAUCAAUAGAGUAGUAAAAAUAAGGAUGAAAACCUAAUUACUCCUAGAAAAAAUCUACCAACUACCAUACGGAUGAUUUUUAAAUGAAUAAAAGCCUACCCUAUUAUGGAGAGCUUAUACCUUUCACUUGUUUACUGUUCUUGAUGAGUUGCAAAACACAACCAACAAAAGAAAAUCAAACAAACAUCAAAACAAAGGUCAUGCCUGAUAAGAAGGUUUCAUUUAUAAUUAUUUCUAUUUCUACAUAAAUACUAAUAAAUUAAGCUCCCAAUGAUCUGCAUAAACAUUUGCAAGGCCUUCUUUUCCAUCGAUGGAAAUGACUGAAACAGAUUCAACCCAUGUCUUAAUUACAUCAGUUAUGUGUUGAACCACCUAAAUCGACUCAAAUCACUGAAGAAAGGCAAUCAUCAGCGUUCAAGCAAGUGAAGCAAAAAAGAAAAGGUAGGACACAUGAACAUUGUGAUUUUGUACCAUCACCUGGACAGUCUUGCCAACGUAAGGGCAGAGGACAGAAAUGAAUGAACUCAAUUCCAAUACGCUAACCGUUAAAGGUAUAUACGUCAUGACAGUCUUAUGAAUAACCAAAUUAUCUGAAGUUCAAGAUAUUGGAUAGCUACAUACAGAUUUGGAGACAAAACCAACAAAUCCAGGCCAGUAUAGCUUGCGGUGAAUAAUGUUAUCAAUGUUCCAGCAGUGUCACCAAUCUUAAAAACUCCAGCUUGAAUUCCUCCAACAGUAGCUGGGCCAAUGACAACCUGCAAAAGAUACGAUAAUUAAAGUUAAUAUCGCCAGUUCAUUUUCCCAGGUUAGUGAAAUUAAGAUGACUUUGCAUCAAUCGUGUAACCUUGUUGUUUGCCCAUGCAUAUGCGAUCAAUUGCUUAGUGUCUGACUCAGGUACACCUUCAGCAAUGACCGCCACAACUCUAAUGGUUGGUUGCUUGAGAGCAGCCAUGGAAGAAGCGGCAGCACUGCAGAUAUAUCAACAUACAUUCAUCGUUAGGUACAACCAUAGAAGUUUCGCACUCCAAAACACUACUCAUAGAAUAAUCACUGACCUUCUGUACGAAGCAAAGUUGAUUAAGACAUCAGCAGUAGGCUGUGCAGUGCGUGAUGCUUCAAUGUUGCAAUAGUUAUCAACCCAAAGGUCAGACAAUCUCGAAACAACAGAUCAAGAAUGGUAAUCUGACUAAUAACAUGAUUUGAAUAUAUUAGAUAUGGAAAAUUAAGAUUAACCAAGCAUACAUGCAUAUACAUAAUUAUACAAAAGGUGGCUUGCGGCAACGAAAGACGAAAUCUAGGAAGAGGAUGAGAGAAUGGCAACUUACUUUUAAGUGCAUUGGUAUGGCGAUUUCCUUUUGACCGAAAAAUAGCUUCUGAAAUCCCUCAGAACCAGGGUUAAUGAUUCCACCAACUGACGGUGUCUCCCUCCGUAUUACAAACCUCAGUUAUUACAUUUACAUCUUUUUCAAAAACUAAAAACUAUAAGUAAGAUCAAGUUCGAAGUAGGAAAUGAUACACACCGCAAAGGACGUCAAAAUCGAGUUAGAAGCACCUGAUAUAUCUUGCCAGUGGUAAUGUUGUUAUCCCUAGGUCCAAAUCAAUCUACAAUUACAAUUAAAGUUUAAACAAACUCAGCAGCAUAAAGUUUAAAGAUAAGACUCACACUCAACAUGAUACCAAGAUAGAAUCCAAAAAUAAAUUAAAGAUAUGACUAAAAUUAUUUGUUCUAAUCGAACAUAUUUCCUAGUUUUCUUAUCCAAUUAUACAAUUGCAGUUCCUAAAACAAAAAAUAAUUAAAAAGUAAUUUGCAGAAAGAAAAUUAGAAAAUUCGAACUUGACAACAAUCUACCUUAAGAAACCCCAUGACCGAGUAACAGCAACAACAACAUUGAGACAUAAUUUGGUGAAUAUAUAUGGUGGACAAAUUUAACAACUCUAGUACUGUUAACAAAGCUUCAACCAACAACAACAACAACAACAACAACAAAGCCUUUUCCCACUAAGUGGGGUCGGCUAUAUGAAUCCUAGAACGCCAUUGCGCUCGGUUUGUGUCAUGUCCUCCGUUAGAUCCAAGUACUCGAAGUCUUUUCUUAGAGUCUCUUCCAAAGUUUUCCUAGGUCUUCCUCUACCCCUUCGGCCCUGAACCUCUGUCCCGUAGUCACAUCUUCAACCAAUACAACAUAAAUCAAAUCAAUAUAUACCUGCAUAUCCUGAGUCCGAAUUGUACCCUCGUGCCCUGCAAUGCCUUGGUGAGCGACUCCUGCUUAAAAUCCAAACACACAUUUAACUUUAACAACACACAAAAAAUCAAAACUCUCAUCAUUAGAAAACCAAAAGGAAAACUUGAAAUUAUAUACCUGAAGCACAAAUGGUUUGCAAACGCAUAUACAAAAUUUUCAAAAAACAAAGAUCACCGUUUCCUGAAAAUGAAAAGAAAAGCAAAUCAUAGAGCCAAACCGAGAAUCCGAACACAGAAAUAAAAUCCCCAAAGUUAUGAAAACAAAAUUUAAAUGCAACACACAUCUGCAAACGGAAGACCACCCCAAAAAAAAUUAAAUUUUGUUCGACAAAAAGCCCAAAAGAAAAGGUAGAUUUUAUAUACACACCUUGAACACAAAGGGCUUGCAAAGUUGCAUUGAGAGCCCCAAAAUUGGGACAUGAGCGUUUCCUGAAACCAAAUAAGCGCACAUAUCAAACCCCCAAAAUGAAAAAAUAGAAAAUUUAAAGACAAAAUCCAUCUGCAAAUCGAAAACCACCGAAAAAAAUUAAAUCAGAUACACUGGAAAAAACGCAAAACUCACUGGAACAACACUGGCGUGGAAGAGAAAAAAAACUAGGUUCGAAAAUAAGCAGAAGGUGAGAAUGGAGAAAGAGAGAAGCCAGCGGAAAGAAAAAGCUAAGAGCACUAUUCGAUCCGCCAUAUUAAACAGUAACUGCCUUAAAUGAACUUAAAUGAAUAGUAAUUACCAUUAAUGAACGGUAAUUGUCAUUUACAUCUCCACCGUUGGAACCAUCUCCCUAGCAAUAAGCAAUUAAAAUAAUAAUUUUUUUUGUUUGUUUAAAUAAUAAAAAAAAACCCCUCCCUCUCUCUCUAUAACACAAAAAAAAUAAAAAAUUGCAAAGCCCUCGGGCCACAGGCCCGUCGACUCCCUACCCCCCUUCGCUCGGGUUCCCACCAUCGCUCGGCCUCCACACGGCUGGACCUCUCUCCAUCGGGCCUCCGGCCCCUUCUUCUCCACUGUCCCCCGAUGGGUGGAGUUGCUCUAAGAAGAGGUUGGAAACGGAAUAAUAGAAAAGCAUAAAUGAGUACGAAAACACGAAUCUUUGUGUUUUUACGGGAGUAGUAGAAAAUAUUAUUUUUUAAGUUAUAAACUUUAUAAUACACAUAUCUUAUUAUGUAUAUAGUUACACGUGGUGUAAUAUUCCGUGUAACGAUCAUACUGAAAAAUCUCUUGUUAAAUUUAGGGAUGUGAUAUCUACACAUCUUAUUUUACUUCUCACACACCUUUGUAAUUUUCGGCCGUCGGAUCGGAUGAAUUGAAAAAGAUCAGCAAACAAAAAAUAUUAAGGGUGUGUGAGAAGUAAAAUAGGGUGCAUCGAUAGCACAUUUCUAAAUAUUUACAUAGCGACACGUGGUGUACCAUCCCGUGUGACGAUCACACUGAAAAAUCUCUUGUUAAAUUUAGGGGUGUGAUAUCCACACACCCCAUUUUACUUCUCAUACACCUUCUUAAUUUUCGACCAUCAGAUCGGAUGAAUUAAAAAAUAUCAACUAACAAAAAUUAUUAAAGAUGUGAUAAGUAAAAUAGAGUGCGGAUACCUAAAUUUAACAAGAGAUCACAUUUUUCAAUAUUUUUUUGGUCUUCCCACCGUCUACACAUGGGUUUAAAAAAUUAAAAAAGUAUAAAAUUUUUAUUUUUUGUUGUGCCACAAACCAUGUGGCCAGGUUUUAAUCAUUUUUUAAUAAUUUUUUUGUCCUCCCACCAGUUACACAUGGGUUUAAAAAAAGGAUUUGGAUUGUCUGCCCUCCUAGUUGUGAUGCCCUUCUAUUUUGUGCGGUCACGGUUAAAUCAAGUCAAUAUUUUAUAUUUUAAUUAUUUUUUGUCUUAUUAUCUCAUUAAAAAAUUAAUAUAAAAUAUUAACGUAGCUUAACCGUGACCGCACAAAAUAGGAGCGCAUAGAAGGGCACCACAACUAGAAGGGCAGACAAUCCAAGUCCUUAAAAAAAUUUAAGAAUGUAUAAAGUUUUUUGUUUGUUGUGUCACAAACCACGUGGACCGGUUUUAACCACAUUUGUUUAAUAUUUGUUUGUCUGCCCACCGGCUAUAUGUGACUUAAAGAAAUGUUUUUUGGGUCAAUGGAUGGGAACGACCCAUUUUAUAAUUGUUUGUAAAUUUUUCUGGAAGUAGAUGGAAAGGACCCAAUUACAUAUUUCCCCUGCUCACAGACAUUUGCAUUGCACCUAGCAAACACCAGUUUUUUGUUUGAACAUCGAUCCCCUCAUCAAUGGCUCUUGUGAGAACAUAUCCAAGAAUCUCCUCUAAUUCCAACACUUUUCGGAGUUAUCGCUACGACGUGUUCUUGAGCUUCAGAGGCGAAGAAACUCGCAAGACUUUUACCGACCACCUCUACACAGCUUUGAACAACGCAGGAUUUCUUACGUUCCGAGACGACGAUGAACUUGAGAGAGGAGAAGAUAUAAAGCCAGGACUGCAGAAAGCGAUCCAGCAGUCACGAACUUCUAUUGUCGUGUUUUCGAAAGAUUACGCGUCAUCCAGGUGGUGUCUUGAUGAGCUUGUGCUGAUCCUUGAACGCAAGAGGACCACCUCGGACCAUGUAAUUUUACCAGUCUUCUACGAUGUCGAUCCAUCCCACGUGAGGAAGCAGACAGGAAGUGUUGGAAAAGCAUUUGCUAGAAGCCAGAAACAUCAGUCGCUGGAAAAGGUGGAGGGAUGGAGGACGGCACUUGCAGAGAUUGCAGACCUAGCAGGCAUGGUCUUACAAAAUCAAGCAUAUGGGUAACUUUCAUUAUCUCCAUUUCUCUUCUCUUUCUUGGGUCAAUUUGAUGUAUGAUCCGUAGUGACAUAGAUUUUUAUAUAUUUAUUAAUUCAAUCUCAGUAGUGAAUAAUAAUUCCAAUUUAGGUCAACUUAAAGAAAUCACACUCAACUCAACUUAAGGAUUAGUCAUUUUCCAUGUUAUCUACUGGUUUCCAGUUGCUUAAUUUUUUUUGAAAGCUGGUGUGGAAAAAAGUUAGGAUGUGAUCUGUGAUGUAUUUGUCUAUAGUUCGUAUAAAUUAUGCGUUGUAUUCCUUUUUUUUUUCAAAUUAAUUUUGUCAGCAGUCCUAUUUUUUUUCUUAUUUAAACAAAGGCAAUCAACAUAUGUUUUAAUUAUCUAAUUUCCCCAAUUCAUUUUUCAUUUUUCAUUUUGUUUGCAAAUUCUUAGGUACGAGUCAAAGUUUAUCAAAAAAAUUGUUAAAGUGAUAGGAGACAAGUUAAGUCGCACACCAUUGAGUGUUGAACCAAAAUUGAUCGGAAUUCAAUCUCAAGCCGAACGCAUCAAUUUAUGGUUACAAGAUGGAUCAAGUGAUGUUGGUAUAUUUGUUGUGUAUGGCAUGUCUGGAAUAGGGAAGACAACCAUUGCAAAACAUGUUUACAAUUCAAACUUUAGAAGCUUUGAAGGAAGUAGUUUCAUUGAAAAUAUCAAAGAAACAGCAGAUCGACCAAAUGGCUUAGUUCAAAUACAAAUGCAACUUCUUUGUGAUAUUUUGAACGGCAAAGAAGUGAAAAUACACUGUGUUAGUCAGGGAAUAAUUAAGAUUGAAAGGGCCGUAAGCUCUAGAAGAGUUCUACUUGUUCUUGAUGAUGUCGACCAAAUGGACCAAUUGGAUGCAAUCCUAAGGAUGAAAGAUCAGUUUUAUCCAGGAAGUAAGAUACUAAUAACAACUAGGCGUGAAAGGUUGCUAAAGGCAGAUCAAGUUACAGAGGUGCACAAUGUUCAAACUUUGGAUUACAAUGAAUCAUUAAAGCUUUUUAGUUGGCAUGCUUUUGGCCAGGACCAUCCCAUAGAAGAAUACACGGAGCACUCAAAACAGUUAGUGCAACAUAGCGGCGGACUUCCAUUAGCUCUAAAAGUUUUGGGUUCUUCUUUAUCAGGGGAAAGUAUAGGUGUAUGGGAAAGUGCAUUGGAGAAGCUAAAAGUUAUUCCUGAUGGUGAAAUCAUGAAUAAACUAAGAAUAAGCUAUGAAAGUUUAAAAGAUGACCAUGAUCGGAAAUUAUUCCUCCACAUUGCUUGUUUCCUAAUAGGAAGGAACAAAAGCUACAUUGUUAGAAUAUUGGAUGGAUGUGAUUUCUAUACAAUCAUUGGCAUUCAAAAUCUCAUUGAUAGAUGCUUGGUGACACUUGAUGAACACGACAAGGUGAAAAUGCAUGACAUGAUUCGUGCUAUGGGAAGAGAAAUUGUUCGUCAAGAAUCAGAAGAGCCUGAGAAACGUAGUAGAUUAUGGCGCGAUAAGGAUUCUUUCCAAGUAUUGAAGAAAAAGAAUGUAAGAAACAUGCCUUUUAUGUCUAUAUUUGUAUUUCAUCUUGUGAAAAUUAUGCAUAUUAAUGUCUCUUUUUUUUUCCUUUAGGGUACAAAAAAAAUCCAAGGUCUUGUCCUGGAUAUGCGUAACCAUCCUGCAAACAAUCCAAUAAACACAAAUGAGAUAGUCUUGGAAACCAAUGCAUUUGCAAGGAUGUCCAAUUUACAACUACUCCAUCUUAGUCAUGUACGACUGGAUGGAUGUUAUGCAGAUUUCCCUACAGGAUUAAGAUGGUUGUGUUGGCUUGAAUUUCCUUUGGAUUCUAUGCCAAUUGAUUUUCCUUUGGAGAACGUAAUUGUUCUUGAAAUGCAAUACAGUAGCUUGAGACAAGUAUGCAAAGGAACAAAAGUAUGUUACUCCAUGCAUUUCAAUUCAUUUUCCUUAUUUUGUUAGUUUUCUAUUUGUUGACUAACUCCAUGUGUUAAAAUGAACUACUAUGUUUUCUUUAAUUCGAUGACUAAUUUCUUAUAUUAGAUACUUAUUUCAUUGUUCUUUUUUCUUUUUUUAUUUUUUUUCUUCCUCUGUUUCCACAGUUUCUUCCAUCGUUGAAGAUCCUUGACGUCAGCCAUUCUCAUGGCCUUAGUGAAACCAUUGACUUCUCACUUUUCCCCAAUCUAGAGGAACUGAUUCUUGUAGAUUGCACAAGCCUAAAGAAUGUUCACGAAUCCAUUGGAAACAUGGAGAGACUUGUGUACUUGAAUAUGAAGGAUUGCAAGAAUCUUAGUAAGCUUCCGAAGAACAUGUGCAUGCUUAAAUCACUUGAAACACUCAUUUUAUCAAGUUGCUCAAAUCUUGAUGAGUUUCCACAGUUUCUUCCAUCGUUGAAGAUCCUUGACGUCAGCCAUUCUCAUGUUCUUAAUGAAAACAUUGACUUCUCACUUUUCCCCAAUCUAGAGGAACUGAUUCUUAUAGAUUGCACAAGCCUGAAGAAUGUUCAUGAAUCCAUUGGAAACCUGGAGAGACUCGUGUACUUGAAUAUGAAGGAUUGCAAGAAUCUUAGGAUGCUUCCGAAGAACAUAUGCAUGCUUAAAUCACUUGAAACACUCAUUUUAUCUGGUUGCUCAAAUCUUGAUGAGUUUCCAGUGGAGAUGAUGAAGAAGAUGGAGUCUCUGAAAGUUCUCGAGACAGAUGGAAUUCCAAUAAGUGAAUUGGGGCCAGAAAGAAGUUCAACUAUCUUGAGUUCUUUUCCAUGCUCUUUGGUAGAGUUAAGUCUGAAGGGGUGCAAUCUUUCUGAUGAUGUUAUUCCUCCAGAUUUAAGUAAUCUAUCCCACUUGCGAAGACUACAUUUAGAUAAUAAUCCAAUUUGCAGUCUGCCAGGUUUCAUCAAAGGUUUGAGGAGGAUCGAUGAACUCUCUUUUUGGUGUUGUGAUAGGCUCGAAUCGCUUGUGGGGUUGCCAGAAGUACACAAAUGGAUAAGUAUAAUCGGAUGCAUAUCAUUAAAAAAAAUAACUUUUCAUUCCCCUGAGAGAUUGUGUCCAAUACAUUUGGGUUACAACAGGAAUCUUGUUGAGUGGGAAUGCAAUUACAAAAUAGAGCCUAUUGAUAGAGUUGAUGUGGAAAUGAUCAAACUUUUGGGCUUGUGCAACUUGGAAUCCAUGCCAGCUGUUCGAAUGCGUUAUCCACACUCACACAGGGAUCCAAAAGAGGUCCCCGUCCAGGUGCGCCUCUCUUUCUCUCUCUCAUAAGUCUUAAAUAUAUAAUGGGAAAGAAAUGACUGAGUAAUGUUGUGAUGGCUGUGGUAACUACAUAGGGACUGUAUCAACGUGGUAUAUUCAGCACGUUUUUUGUUGGGAAUGAGGUUCCAGGCCGGUUCAGCUAUAUAAGUACCAAGUCCUCGAUAACUUUUAUUGUCCCUUUACUACUUGCUAGUCAUAGAAUUCGAGGCUUGAACAUAUUUGCUACCUAUGCAAAGGAAAAUUCAAAUAAUUAUUCUACUAGACCUAGUAUUGGUCCAAUAAUGAUCAAAGUGAGAAACAAGAGUAAGGGUCAGAAGUGGAUCUAUGCCCCAGAGUUCUAUGGAAUUCCAGGUGAUGGAGAAAAUAUGAUAUGGUUAAGCCAUUGGAAGAUGGAGAAUAAAACAAUAUUACAAUGUGGAGAUGAAGUGGUGGUUUCUGUAAUAACUGGACCACGUGACUUGUUUUGGGUAAAGGAGUUUGGUGUCGAGCUUGUGCAAGAGCACCAAGACAAGAUAAGUACCCAACACAACACCAAAUCAGAUCCUAAUUAUCCACUUGUUAUCGGUGGAGAUUUAAAGACGUGGAAGUGCAGACCGGGGAUAUACUUCCUUGGUCGUUGGACAAGAGAAGAUACUGACGACAUUGAUAUCCUCACGAUGGACUCUGAUGAAGAAGACACAAGUAUGUUGUGUUGUUGUAUUGCAUUGAAUUAUACUCCAUCCAAACACUUCCAUGUGUGUCUGUAUUCAUUUCAAAAACAUUUCCAAUAAAUUUUAUGUUAUUUGUAUGUUUUACAGACAAAGAAGGGCAAGAAGAUGAACCUGAUUACACAAUUGCAAAGAUGAGGACUGCUAGCAAUAACUGCAGCCUAAGAGGUUGGAAGGUGCGCCUCACAGCUGUCGGCUUCUUUUUCACGCUUGCUCUAGUAGGUUGGUCCUCCAUCUCCCAAAAAAAGAAGCGACACUCGUCCACAAGCCCACCAGGAAUUUGUAAUUUGACUUGAUAUAGAUAUAUCUUUGCAUUCCUUGCUCUCAAGAUGUUUUCUACCUUCAAAAUUUCAGGUUCAGAGGUAAGCGCUUUAACCGCUUGAGAUAUAAAAGCCCAUUGCAACUAGAUACUGAAGUUCAAAUGUGUUCAACGCCAUCAAAUAUAGCAUAAAAUACAUCCAGCAUUAGCGAUACUAGCAGAUUAGCUGUAAAUAAGUAAAACAAAAAAAUGCUUCUACACAUGGUAAGGGAAGGACUUUGACUGACAUAGGUAUCUUUAGCAAUAACGGGCAAGAUUUUUUUUUGUUGGGAGGGGUGGGGAUUAUUUCGACACCGGGGAAAACAAAAACAUCCUAUCUGCUUAUAAAUGACAAAGUUACAAAUCUUAAUUGUCGUUUACAACAAAAUCAUUCUUAAAGACUCGGCUCCCCAUUGAAAUUGUGUAAAUUGCAUAAAUAUCAAUACAACAGAUAUUAGAUAGAAUAAUAUAUAUCAAAUAAAUUAACGACAGGCAAUUUCUUAGCCUGAGAUUCAAGGACUUCACAGCUGGUUCAGCCUUGCAUCGCUACUACGCUACUCCAGUCAACUGAUUUAAAAGAGUACCCUGUUUCUCAGCGCAACAUGCACAAAAUCAACACCGGGUAGAAACUAAAAACCACCACCAAAUAAAAGUGAAUUCGACAACGUCAACGUAUUUACUUACCAAAGAUACUACAGGGACAGGUACCGAACGGCGGUGAUUACGAUACUGCUUUCUAUGCUUUCGGACAGAUUCUAACUCCUUGAGAACUCGAUCUAGUAUUACAGGCAUUUUUACAGGCAAAUCAAUUUCAAGGAAGUAUAGGAGGAACCCAUAAUCUUCUCAUGAACAUUGUACCUGCAAAAGCAUAAUGCAAUAAGCAUUCAACAAUCUGACCUAGUUUGCUCAACAGAUGCUCUAAGAUAUUCCAAAACAAAGUCACAGCAAUUUCACAUAGGAUACCAGGUGGGGAGGAUACAAUCAUUAACAAUUUCAAAAGCUUUAAAUGCAAAAAAUCAGUGAACAUAAUCAAAUCCAAUACGUCAAUUUUGGCCUAGAUUGAAAUGAAAAAAAACAAGGAAAUGCUUUGUGUAUCGAUUUGUUUAUGAAGGAAAUAAAACAUAUUUCAUGGAAAUAAAACCUGUGGUUACUUUUGUCUUCCUCUGCCAUUUGUCUAUCGAUUUGUUUCUGAAAGUGGCUAUUCUACAACAUACAGCAUGACAGGUCUUAGUUAGACCAAGUAACCGGCAUGGAAAUGCUUUCUGAAGCAAGAAUAUGAACUCAAGAGCUUUGUGCCAGAGAGACUUCAGAAAAAUGAAAAAAACAACAUAGAAUAUACAACAACAACAACAACAACAAAGCCUUUUCCCACUAAGUGGGGUCGGCUAUAUGAAUCCUAGAACGCCAUUGCGCUCGGUUUUUGUGUCAUGUCCUCCGUUAGAUCCAAGUACUCAAGUCUUUUCUUAGGGUCUCUUCCAAAUUUUUCCUAGGUCUUCCUCUACCCCUUCGGCCCUGAACCUCUGUCCCGUAGUCAUUUUCGAACCGGAGCGUCAGUAGGCCUUCUUUGCACAUGUCCAAACCACCGGAACCGAUUUUCUCUCAUAUUUCCUUCAAUUUUGACUACUCCUACUUUACCUCGAAUAUCCUCAUUCCCAAUCUUAUCCUUUAUCGUGUGCCCAUACAUCCCACGAAGCAUCCUCAUCUCCGCUACACCCAUUUUGUGUACGUGUUGAUGCCUCACCGCCCAACAUUCUGUGCCAUACAACAUCACUGGCCUUAUUGUCGUCCUAUAAAAUUUUCCCUUGAGCUUCAAUGGCCUACGACGGUCACACAACACGCCGGAUGCACUCUUACACUUCAUCCAUCCAGCUUGUAUUCUAUGGUUGAGAUCUCCAUCUAAUUCUCUGUUCUCUUGCAAGAUAGAUCCUAGGUAGCGAAAACGGUCACUUUUUGUGAUCUUCGCUAGAUUGCUCCGGUCAUUAGUGUGGAUAAGUAUAUAAAUGGAUAGAAUUAGGAAAGCAAACACAAGAUGUACGUGGUUCACCCAAAUUGGCUACGUCCACGGAAUAGAGGAGUUCUCAUUAAUUGUGAAUGGUUUACACAAGUACAUAGGUUCAAGCUCUCCUUUAGUGAGUACAAGUGAAUGAUUUAGUACAAAUGACAUUAGGAAAUAUUGUGGGAGAAUGAUCUCGUAACCACGAAACUUCUAAGUACCGGAGUGUGGUAUCGUCUUGACUUGCCUUAUCUGUCUCAUAGGUAGAUGUGGCAUCUUCUCUGGAAGUACUCUUCCUCCAUCCAGGGGUGGUAUCUGUAACUGGUGGAGAUGCACAAGGUAAUGUAUCAAUUUCACUUGAAGCUUACUUGUAGUUUCAGGCUUGGUCAAGCGCGAUACAAACCAUGUAGUAGGAGUCCCCCAAGUCGCCGGGUUAGGGGAUCUGCUGAAAGAGGUGACAGACAAGGUAAGCAAUCAGAGCUCCAGCUGAUUGUUCAUAUUCUCCCUAUCUUGCAGGCAGCAUGAAGGAUAAAGAGAAGAAAAAUGAGAAGAGAUGAUAUGGGAUACUUUUGCUUUUGAAGAAGUAACUUUCCACAGGCUUAUUCUUGAACCGGGCUGCAGGGUUUUCUGGUUUCCUCCAGAGUAUAAGGCCGACUGAAGAAUUUGAGGGUGAAAACAAGUUCAUCAAAUCUAGAGUACGUUCGACCCUGCUGAUAUGGGAUACUUUUGCUUUUGACAGAGUAGUGGAUGUAUCGGCACGUGUGCUGUUACGCUUGUCUCCACAUGCUUCAUUGUAUCCUUCUCACUUGCCCUAUCUGUUCCUCAGGCAGAUCCGGUAUCUUCCCUGGAAGCAUAAGAUGUUGAAGAUGAGUACUCGAGAGCAAUGCCAGGUAAGUAAUCAGGUAAGGGGUUCCAGGCAGUCAGUUCCUGGCUGGAAGCUUGAUUCCAAGUGCUGACUGAUUGCUCUCGUUCUCCUUGUCUUGCAGGUAAGAACAAGGCCAAAGGAAAAGACAGGGAAAAAGCAUGAUAUGGGAUACUCUUACUUUUAACCCUAAUGAUAAGAACAAGGCCAAAGGAAAAGACAGGGAAAAAGCAUGAUAUGGGAUACUCUUACUUUUAACCCUGAUGAUAUGAGAUAUUCUUGCUCUAGUAUAGCUUGUUUACAGAGGUAUUAUCGAGGGGAAAUAAAGCUGAAUAUUUCGAAAGGCUUCGUUGGGAGUGCCCUCUCAGAUAAGAGAAAGGGUUGAGCAUUUUUGCAAGUCUGCCUGUCCGUUAGGGAUGGAGGUCGACAUAUAUAGGAGUCUCCCUAACAUCAAGUAAUAAUGUUAUUCCUUUACCCUGCUUGGUCAUAACACGGUAGUGGGAGCUGCCAGCUUCACAUGUUUUAACUAUGUCAGAGCACUUUGAAAAAGUGGUCUGUGGUAUCUAGAAAGCUGAUGUUGCGUGUGAAGAUUACAGACAAGCUUUAUCCAAGGAGAUCCAGCUUUUGAAGUUGGGAAAGUGGUGCCUCUUCGGUUUUCGAACAAGCAAUCCUGUCGGGGAUCUGGCUCUCGAGAUUCGGAGAACGAUGCCUCUUCGAUUUUUGAGAAAGCGAUCCUGCUGGGGGUCUGGCUCUCGAGAUUCAGAGAGCGGUGUCUCUUCGAUUUUUGAGAAAGUAAUCAUGUUGGGAGUCUGGCUCUCGAGAUUCGGAGGGCGGUGCCUCUUCGAUUUUGGAGCAAGCAAUCUUGUUAGGAGUGUUUUCUCGAAUGUGAGUAAAGGUUGGGCAUGUUUGCUAGUCUACCUUGCCACGAAGCACAGAGGUUGACACACAGGGACUUUCCAAUUAUCCAGCAGUGGUACUGUUCCUUUACCCUCUCUUCGAUUUUUGAGAAAGUAAUCAUGUUGGGAGUCUGGCUCUCGAGAUUCGGAGGGCGGUGCCUCUUCGAUUUUGGAGCAAGCAAUCUUGUUGGGAGUGUUUUCUCGAAUGUGAGUAAAGGUUGGGCAUGUUUGCUAGUCUACCUUGCCACGAAGCACAAAGGUUGACACACAUGGACUUUCCAAUUAUCCAGCAGUGGUACUGUUCCUUUACCCUCUCUUCGAUUUUUGAGAAAGUAAUCAUGUUGGGAGUCUGGCUCUCGAGAUUCGGAGGGCGGUGCCUCUUCGAUUUUGGAGCAAGCAAUCCUGUUGGAAGUGUUUUCUUGAAUGUGAGUAAAGGUUGGCAUGUUUGCUAGACUACCUUGCCACGAAGCACAGAGGUUGACACACCGGGACUUUCCAAUUAUCCAGCAGUGGUACUGUUCCUUUACCCUUGUGGGUAAUAAUAUGGUAGCUAGACCUUCAAAAUUUGUGUCUAAACUUUGUUAGUGUUGUUUCUUUGUAAUUCUUUUACCCUUCUUGGUCAGAGCGAUGUAGCGGGAGCUGCAAGCUUCACGUGUCUCAACUUUGUCAGAGAACUUUGGCAAAGUUAUCUGUGGUACCCAUGAGUUACUGUUGCGUAUGGGAAGUGGGUGAUUGAACAGUACAAUUCAUGUGCUUUCUACUUCGCCAGAAAUCUUCGACAGAAUGCCCAUAAUUUCCGCAAAGCUGAGUGUGCGUGUGACAGGUGCUGACAAGGCUGGAAAAGUAUGUGCCUCUUCGAUUUCUAAGAUCGGCCUUCGUGGUCUCUUAGCAGCCCAGCUUUUGAGAAAGCAAGCCUCUUCGAUUUCUGAUAUCGGCCUUCGUGGUCUUUGAGCAGCCCAGCUUUUGAGAAAGCAAACGCCUCUUCGAUUUCUGAGAUCGACCCUCGUGGUCUCUGAGCAGCCCAGCUUUUGAGAAAGCAAACGCCUCUUUGAUUUCUGAGCAGGCGCCUCUUCGAUUUCUGAAGCUUCGUCGAGUGCAGAUUUUUAUAGGGGCUGACAUUAAGUUCCAAAGCACACUUGAAUAUCCACCAGUAGAAGCUCCAUUCUUGUACUUCUAAGAUCUUGAUUUGUCCGACCUCUUCUCUCUUCAACACCUUUGAAAAUGUCUGGCCCCUCCGACCGUCGUUUUGACUUGAACCUUGUUGAAGAGGCAGCCCCGCCUUCUCCAGACAACAUAUGGCGCCCAUCCUUCGUCUCCCCUACUGGUCCUCUUACCGUUGGGGAUUCCGUGAUGAAGAAUGGUAUGACCGCUGCGGUAGUGGCCAGGAACCUUCUCACUCCCAAAGAUAACAGACUACUUUCCAAACGGUUUGAUGAGUUGGCUGUUAAGGAUUCUCUGGCUCUCAGUGUUCAGUGUGCAGGUUCUGUGUCUAAUAUGGCCCAACGCCUAUUUGCUCGAACCCGCCAAGUUGAAUCAUUGGCGGUUGAAGUGAUGAGUCUUAAACAGGAGAUUAGAGGGCUCAAGCAUGAGAAUAAACAGUUGCACCGGCUCGCACAUGACUAUGCUACAAACAUGAAGAUGAAGCUUGACCAGAUGAAGGAAUCUGAUGGUCAGGUUUUACUUGAUCAUCAGAGAUUUGUGGGUUUGUUCCAAAGGCAUUUAUUGCCUUCGUCUUCUGGGGCUGUACCGCGUAAUGAAGCUCCAAAUGAUCAACCUCUGAUGCCUUCUCCUUCUAGGGUUUUGUCCAGUACUGAGGCUCCGAAUGAUCCCCCUCCGGUGCCUUCUCUUUCUGGGGCUCUACCGACUGUUGAGACUUCUCCUAAGCAACCUUUGUGAAGGCUCCCUCUUGUUUGUUUAUUUUGACUCAAGUAUAUGUACAUAUUUGUAACUUAUCGGGGAUAUCAAUAAAUAAGCUUUCCUUCAUUUCAACGUAUUGUGUUAAAUACACCAAAGCCUUCUUCGCUAAGUUCUUUGAAUUUUCUUUUGUUGAAGCUUGUAUGUUGAAGCUUUGUGAGUGGAGCAUGUAGGUUGAGGUAGUGUUCCCUUAAUUUCCUGAGUGAGGAAAACUUCUCGGUUGGAGACUUAGAAAAUCCAAGUCACUGAGUGGGAUCGGCUAUAUGAAUCUUAGAACGCCAUUGUGUUCUGUCCUGUGUCAUGUCCUCCGUUAGAUCCAAGUACUCUAAGUCUUUUCUUAGGGUCUCUUCCAAAGUUUUCCUAGGUCUUCCUCUACCCCUUCGGCCCUGAACCUUUGUCCUAUAGUCGCAUCUUCUAAUCGGAGCGUCAGUAGGCCUUCUUUGCACAUGUCCAAACCACCGUAACCGAUUUUCUCUCAUCUUUCCUUCAAUUUCGGCUACUCCUACUUUACCCCGGAUAUCCUCAUUCCUAAUCUUAUCCUUUCUCGUGUGCCCACACAUCCAACGAAGCAUCCUCAUCUCCGCUACACCCAUUUUGUGUACGUGUUGAUGCUUCACCGCCCAACAUUCUGUGCCAUACAGCAUCGCCGGCCUUAUUGCCGUCCUAUAAAAUUUUCCCUUGAGCUUCAGUGGCAUACGGCGGUCACACAACACGCCGGAUGCACUCUUCCACUUCAUCCAUCCAGCUUGUAUUUCUAUGGUUGAGAUCUCCAUCUAAUUCUCCGUUCUUUUUGCAAGAUAGAUCCUAGGUAACGAAAACGGUCGCUCUUUGGUAUUUCUUGAUCUCCGAUCAUCACCCUUAACUCGUUUUGGCCUCCAUUUGCACUAAACUUGCACUCCAUAUAUUCUGUCUUUGAUCGGCUUAGGCGAAGACCUUUAGAUUCCAACACUUCUCUCCAAAGGUUAAGCUUUGCAUUUACCCCUUCCUGAGUUUCAUCUAUCAACAUUAUAUCGUCUGCGAAAAGCAUACACCAAGGAAUAUCAUCUUGAAUAUGUCAUGUUAACUCAUCCAUUACCAACGCAAAAAGGUAAGGACUUAAGGAUGAGCCUUGAUGUAAUCCUACAGUUAUGGGAAAGCUUUCGGUUUGUCCUUCAUGAGUUCUUACGGCAGUCUUUGCUCCUUCAUACAUAUCCUGUAUAGCUUGGAUAUAUGCUACUCGUACUCCUUUCUUCUCUAAAAUCCUCCAAAGAAUGUCUCUUGGGACCCUAUCAUACGCUUUUUCCAAAUCUAUAAAGACCAUGUGUAAAUCAUUUUUCCCAUCUCUAUAUCUUUCCAUCAAUCUUCGUAAGAGAUAGAUUGCCUCCAUGGUUGAGCGCCCUGGCAUGAACCCGAAUUGGUUGUCCGAAACCCGUGUCUCUUGCCUCAAUCUAUGCUCAAUGACUCUCUCCCAAAGCUUCAUUGUAUGACUCAUUAGCUUAAUACCCCUAUAGUUCAUGCAAUUUUGUACAUCGCCCUUAUUCUUGUAGAUAGGCACCAAAGUGCUCAUUCGCCACUCAUUUGGCAUCUUCUUCGUUUUCAAAAUCCUAUUGAAAAGGUCAGUGAGCCAUGUUAUACCUGUCUCUCCCAAAACUUUCCACACUUCGAUUGGUAUAUCGUCUGGGCCUACUGCUUUUCUAUGCUUCAUCUUCUUCAAAGCUACAACCACUUAUUCCUUCCGGAUUCUACGAUAAAAAGAGUAGUUUCGACACUCUUCUGAGUUACUCAACUCCCCUAAAGAAGCACUCCUUUCAUGUCCUUCAUUGAAAAGAUUAUGAAAAUAACAUUUCCAUCUGUCUUUAACCGCGUUCUCUGUAGCAAGAACAUUUCCAUCCUCAUCCUUGAUGCACCUCACUUGGUUUAGAUCCCUUGUCUUCUUUUCCCCUGCUCUAGCUAGUUUAUAGAUAUCCAACUCUCCUUCUUUGGUAUCUAGUCGCUUAUACAUAUCGUCAUAAGCCGCUAACUUAGCUUCUCUCAGCUUUCUUCGCCUCUUGCUUCGCUUUUCUAUACCUUUCACCAUUUUCAUCGGUCAUAUCCUUGUAUAAGGCUUUACAACAUUCCUUCUUAGCCUUCACCUUUGUUUGUACCUCUUCAUUCCACCACCAAGAUUCCUUUUGGUGUGGGGCAAAGCCCUUGGACUCUCCUAAUACCUCUUUUGCUACUUUUCGGAUACAACUAGCCAUGGAAUCCCACAUUUGGUUAGAUUCCCCCUCUCUAUCCCACACACACUGGGUGAUUACUUUCUCUUUGAAAAUGACUUGUUUUUCUUCUUUUAGAUUCCACCAUCUAGUCCUUGGGCACUUCCAAGUCUUGUUCUUUUUUCUCACUCUUUUGAUAUGUACAUCCAUCACCAAUAAGCGAUGUUGAUUAGCCACGCUCUCUCCUGGUAUAACAAGCCAAUAAAACAAUAAUUCACUGUAUAAAUCAUUUUUUCAACUUUAAAGUGUGGCUUAAAAAGAAGCUUUAAACAAGUAGCAAUAAUUUCAUAUUGAAAAAUAAAACCUAUUUCAUGGAUAUUACAAGAGCCAUUAUUUUGAAAAACACACAUUUUGGUUCUUCGCUGCUUGACUUUUAAGAAGAUCUUUGUCCUUGUGACGAUUCAAAUUCUUUAAAAUAUCUCUGCAACGGAAUAAACAAAACCAAUCUAGGCCAAAAUUGACUUGUUCGAUUUGAUUAUGUUCAUUGAUUUUUCUGUUCACAUGUUUACCCCUACUUGCCAUAUAGUUUUGGGGUGUUAGCGCAUAGUGCUCUUCUCUUUACACACCAGUUUUAAUUUUAUUCUUCGUAAAUUAAGAGACCGUUUGAUAAUCAUUUCGUUUUCAAUUUAAAAAAAUAUAAAAAACUAAAUGAAGUUUUCAAAAUUUGACCUAGAAUUUUCGCUUUUGGUUUUCAAUUUUAAUUUUUUUAAAAACAACUGAAAACUAAAAAUAGUUACAAAAAGAAUUUUUCAGUUUUUAAUUUACAAAAAAGUAAAAACUGAAAACUCUAUACUAGACUAAAAAUUAAAAAGUGAAAUCGAAAUGGGCUCUCAACAAAAUUGAAAAAAGACUCGGCUGAAUUACUGAAUUCAAAGCAGGGCUUAUUAACGUUACGAGGCCCAAUGGAUCUAUAUAAAUAUUUUUCGUUUUUUUUUUUUAACAAACGAUAUUAUUUAUAUAGGCUUAAUCUUACCGUAGGCUAACAAUAAUGUGGUUCAAAUUUGUUUUUCGUAAGAAUCGAACUUAAAACUUCUCAUUUACAAAUGAAGACAAAAUCCACUAAACUGUAGUCUUGAGUGGCUCGUUAUUUUAUUUUAUAUUUUAAGAAAAAAGAAAGAAAGCAAUGAAAAGCUGUACAUAAAAUAAAUACAAAAAGGGAUGAAAUGAAGAAGAGUGGGAGACUAACGUUUAAUUCAAGAUAAAGAAAGAAAGGUAAUCGCACCACGACGGCGGCGACGUGGCGGUCAUUUAACGGAAAAUAACAGACAAAUCAGCCUCCAGAUCAAGUCUUGAAGCACAACUCUGAAAAAUCGAGACUACCUACAGCUGAGCUCCGACCAACCGUUGAUGGAUGCAAUCAGGAAGCUCAGAGAUCAGGUCGCCAAGCAACAGCAGGUACUCCCUCUCGUUUGAUUCCGAAUUUGUAUUUCUGUAUGGAUUUUGAUAUGAACAUAAUCUGCGUUGAUUGCGAGAUACUGAGAUUGCUUAAUGAAAUAAUAUUUAUAUAAUUAUUCGAGUUGAAUUGGAUCGAUUCGAAUUCAAAUAGAAUUUCACUAAUUCUGAGCUGUUUGGGGAUGUGUUGGAGUGCAAUGUUGAUGAAUUUCUGAAAUUUUGAGCUAGGUGUUGCUAAUUACUUAUCGAUUUUUGAUGUAACUGGAUGCUUAAUUUUUACAUUUUCGGAAAACUUGAAGCGAAAAUGGCAUAUAAUUCAACGUUCCAUGCUUCAUUAAUGCAUAUGAGUUAGUCGAAGCUUUAUCGAGUUUGCUUUUGAUUAUUUUGUGAACACCGUCAGGCUGUGUUCAAACAAUUUUCUGGUGGCAUAUAUGGGGGAUCGGAUAAUGUUGCCUCGGAUGAAAAUGAAUUUCAACAGCAUCAGAAACUCGAGAAGCUGUACAUAUCAACUCGUGCUGCCAAGGUUGCUACGCUUAUUUUUGUCUGUGCUUUAAACGAGCAUCACGUUAGUUGUGUUACCUAUCGUUUUUUGCUUCUUCUUUAACAGCAUUACCAAAAGGAAAUUGUCCGCGGAGUGGAAGGUUACAUUGUGGCCGGUUCAAAGCACGUUGAAAUAGGUAUGUUGCUUGAAAUGCGUUGUCUUUUCUUGGGAGUUUGGAUAUGAAUUCAUGUUGGUUUUAUCAGUUGGUAUACAUAAUACUUUUUCAACAGGUACCAAGCUAUCAGAAGAUAGCAGGAAAUAUGGUUCUGAAAAGACUUGCACCGGUGGUAACACAUUGUCGAGAGCUGCACUGAGUUUUGGAAGAGCUCGGGCCCAAAUGGAAAGAGAGUGCGGAGUUCUACUGAAAGCCCUUGGCACACAGGUUUAAGUCAAAUUAUUACUAUACAAUGGCUCAUUAAGUAAAAAUCAAAUAUUGCCAGGGCCGGUUUCAUACAAAUGGAAUUUCAACCUACUAAUUUUCGUGUGCAUUUGAUCAUUUCGAAAGAAAUUUACAGUAAAAAUUGUUUCCAUUUUCACGUGUGGUUCAAGAACUGCACUACUUUUUGUGUUAUUAUGCAUCAUAUAAGAGGUCGCACUUGGUGCGAUGGCAAGUGCCUUCGCCCAUGAGCGGUAGGUCUCGGGUUCGAGACUUGGGAGCAGCCUCUCCAUAAAUGGGGGUAAGGUUAGCCGACAUUCACCUCUCCCAGACCCUGCGUAAAGCGGGAGGCUUGUGCACUGGGUACGACCUUUAUGCAUCAUAUGACAAACUGGUUCACCAUUUCUUUCUAUAGGUUUGCAUAAUAACUCUUUCUGUGCUUAUCAAUUUGCCUGUGUAGGUUGUGUUAGGUUUUUGGCUCAAAAUUAGGAUGAUGCAAUAAAUUAGGUUUCUGUUAACUAUUUGGUUUUGGUGUUCUAUUUGGGUUUGGUUUUGACUUCUUAGUUAGUUUCCUUGGUGGAGAGAUUUUGUUAAUUACCUAUUUGAUUUGGAUUUGGAUUUAUUUCAUAUUAGGAUUCUUAUUGUAACCUAAGUCCUAUGCACUAUAAAUAGGACCUUAGGGUUAGUGUAUUUAGUGUGCUUCAUCAUGGUUUAGAGAGCUUUUCUCUAUUUUGGUUUUGGGUGGAGGUCACCGUUUGGAGUCACGAGCGUGGCAAAUUCAUGGCUCAUUCGUUUGGCAAAUUUGGUGAGAGUCAAUUUGUGAGUUUGUGAGUUAGAAAGCAAUUUGGGAGAAUCUUCUCCGUUUGUUUUGAGUUCUCUACUCGUUUGGUUUAGGGUUUGUAAUUUGUGGGAUUUAGGUUGUGAGAGUUUAAACACUCUUUUGUAAUCUCCAUUUGUUUAGUGAAAUUCCUUGCCGUGCUUCGCCCGUGGAGUAGGCUUUACGCCGAACCAUGUAAAUCUCGUGUUAGUUUGAGAUUGUUUGUUUUAGCUUUCACCUAUGACGUUGAUAUUUGGUACUUUGUUAUAAUUCGCUUCCGUUUGCGCAUAAAAGUACAACAAGUGGUAUCAGAGCCCAGGUUUCGGCUUGGGCUUUGCUUAGCAGUCACUCUGAAGCCUUCUGUGUUGAUAUUGAAAAGUUCGAAGGUAAUGACUUUGGUAUUUGGCAAUUGAAGAUGCGUGCUUUGGUAGUUCAAGGAAGGAAUAAGGAAAAGAGCAAACUUGGAAAGAACACUUGUAGCUAUUGUUAUAAGGAAGGCCAUUGGAAAGUAGAUUGCCCUAAACUCAAGGGCAAAAACAAGCCGUUUGAUAAGUCUUUUGCUAAUGUUGAUGCAAACAUUGCAGAAGAUCAUUGUUCUGAACUCCUCUAAAUGUUAUGUGAGGAGGUGGAGCUUGGUACUCAAGCUCUUUGGGUGGAGUGCAAUUCGCACUUUUUGUUCAUAUGUUCAAGCUUUUGCUUGGAUUUUGUUUCGUAUUUGUUAGUUUCCAUAAUGGAAUUUGUUGGAGAAGGCAUUGGAGGAAAUUUCAAGUUUGAAGACUUUUGGAUUUUUUGAGUCUAGGUGGAGAUCAGUUUCAAAAGAAUUUGGUGCACGUUUGCGUUUGUAUUUUGGUAUCCCAAAUUUGGAAGUUUGCUAAUUUCUCGCCGAGGUGGAGAUUGUUAGGUUUUUGGCUCAAAAUUAGGAUGAUGCAAUAAAUUAGGUUUCUGUUACCUAUUUGGUUUUGGUGUCCUAUUUGGGUUGGGUUUUGACUUUUUAGUUAGUUUCCUUGGUGGAGAGAUUUGUUAAUUACCUAUUUGAUUUGGAUUUGGAUUUAUUUCCUAUUAGGAUUCUUAUUGUAACCUAAGUCCUAUGCACUAUAAAUAGGACCUUAGGGUUAGUGUAUUUAGUGUGCCUCAUCAUGGUUUAGAGAGCUUUUCUCUAUUUUGGUUUUGGGUGGAGGUCACCGUUUGAAGUCAUGAGUGUGUGGCAAAUUCAUGGCUCAUUCGUUUGGCAAAUUUGGUGAGAGUCAAUUUGUGAGUUUGUGAGUUAGAAAGCAAUUUGGGAGAAUCUUCUCCGUUUGUUUUGAGUUCUCUACUCUUUUGGUUUAGGGUUUGUAAUUUGUGGGAUUUGGGUUGUGAGAGUUUAAACACUCUUUUGCAAUCUCCGUUUGUUUAGUGAAAUUCCUUGCCGUGCUUUGCCCGUGAAGUAGGCUUUAUGCCGAACCACGUAAAUCUCUUGUGUUAGUUUGAGAUUGUUUGUUUUAGCUUUCACCUAUGACGUUGAUAUUUGGUACUUUGUUAUAAUUCGCUUCCGUUUGCGCAUAAAAGUACAACAGGUUGCAGAGCCUUUAAGAGCAAUGAUAGUGGGAACACCCUUGGAGGAUGCUCGACAUCUAACUCAACGAUAUGCUAGAAUGCGGCAAGAAGCUGAAGCUCAGGUAUAUGCAGUUUCUUCUGUUUCCUACCAAUUUUAUACUACAGUGAUUUUACAUGUUACAUGGUGAUCAUACAUUUCUCGGUUAACUUUUUUUGUUUUCUUUUAAAAGUGUUUGUUCAUUUUGAGACAAUCAUGCAUUGGUAUUUAUAGAGAACGCAAAAUCUUAAGAUGUUUAAUGUAACUUGUUGAGAUUGCUUCAUUACUUGAAGCUUUGUUGUAAUUUGGUUUUUGUUUUUUUUUUAUUACUCCUUCAGAUUUGUCUAUAUAUACUAACUUGCACCGGGAUAGGCUAUAGAUGUUUCCAGACGCCAGGCCAAAGUACGGGAUUCUGCAGGUAAUGCUGACAUUAUCAUGAAACUAGAAGCUGCUGAAGCCAAGCUUCAGGAGCUGCAGUCUAGCGUUGCAAUAUUGGGAAAAGAAGCUAGUGCAGCUAUGGCUGCUGUUGAAGGUCAACAACAAAGAUUGACUCUUCAGCGGCUUCUUGCGAUGGUAAAGGAUUGCCUUCUCCUUUUUAUUUAAGUGUUAAGACCUUGGCCUGUUCUAGUUACAAGACUGAAAAGGAAAUUAAUUUUGUAAAUUUGUGAUUUUUCGUCCCCAUUCAAGGUUGAAGGAGAACGCAACUAUCAUCAGAACGUUCUUUAGAUACUUGAUCAGCUUGAAGGCGAGGUAUGAAAUAUCCUAAAGUCUUCCUUUCAGCAUGACAAUUUCUUUUCCCAAUUCAUUUGGCUGUAUAUUAUUCUAGUGUCUUGCUACUAAAAGCAGAGAUCAUUGACAGUAUUUGUUGGGACAGAUUUUAUCAGAAAAGCAGCGAAUUGAAGCAUCGCAUAGUCCGCCUACCGAGGACACUAUGCCUCCACCACCAUCGUAUGAGGAUCUCGGCCGUAGCUUUGCUUCUGAAACCUGUGAUGAAUUGACAGAGUUGAGGGACUCUUCUCUUUCUUAGGAGAGGUAUCUUUAUGCUAUUGUUGUUGUAUCCAAGUUUUAGUCUGUUCGACUCUUUAGUUUCUAGUAACUGUUUCUUUUCGCCUACCGCAGGUUAUUUACACCUUCCACGCUGUAACUGAUGUGGAGUUAAGUUUGUCAUUCGGGAAUUACGUUGUCGUCCGGAAGGUUCUGUCGUCUUUCCUGCUUGCAUGCUUUCAUCUUAUAUUCAUGUUCGGAUUUAUUUCUUUCGUAUUGAGGUUAAAUUUUCAUGUUCAAAGACGUUCACUCAGGUAUGUUCGUCAAUGCAUAGGCAUUAGCACACCACCGAGUGCAUUAGAAUAUGGAUUUCAGUUUUGGGUGCUGCAUGCAUUAAUGUAGUUUGUCUGGUUUUGGUUAUUGCUGCCGCUGAGCAUGAGUGGCUUUCUGUAGUUGCUGAGAGUUAUAUUGUGAGCAUAAUUCAUACAGCAGCUUUCAUAUACGGCACAUGUAGUCGGCAGCACUGCAUUUAGAAAGAGAAAGUUAUAUUUUCUUCACUGUUUAUUGAAAACUUAUAUGUUGCAUGUUCUGACUUUUAAAGUGAGUCGGCAUCAGAGUUUUUAUUUGAGAAAAAUCAGUUUUGUGUCCAUGUGUUUUCAAAGAAAAUAUUUUAGUUUUUAAUCACUGAUUUUUCAUUGUGCUUCAAUUAGAAAUCAAUUAUGAGAAUGUGCCUUGUGAUUUUCGUAAUUGGUUGAUUUCAAAAAAUCUUUACAUUUCAUACAUUCUGCAUGAUCACAUUAGGAUCUUGCAAAGUUCAAGGACACAGUGAUUGACUGUCGCGUUAGUGUCGUGCCACUUUCACUUGAAAGCUGAAGAGAGAUCGAGUAGCAAAGCUCAAUGAAAAAAAUUGCCUACUAGUAUGUGGGUCUAGUUAAUGAGUUUUGUAAGUCUUUCUAUACUCAUUUGUCCUGGCUUAAGAGUUUGAGGAUUUUCUCAGUGAUGAGUUUUACCUUGUUAAAUCCUACAUCAUGUGUACACAUGUUAUUUGUCUUUUUAAUUGCAAAUGUGUAGGAUAAUCUUUCACUUAUUUUCUUGUAGUGAACUCUAUCUUAGACAUUCAUCAACAUUUAGAGUUUACGACAGAGGACUUUGCUACCAUAUUAUCAGUGCAUUGAUUAAUUUGUAAAGCGCCCAUUUAUCCUAAUUAUAAAAUAUAUCCUAAUUAUAAAAUAUAAUCUGUACAAGACAUUAACAGUUUGGAUGUCAUGUAUGGCCACAUCCUUUAUUUUCAGAAUAAUGCUAUUCAUACCAUGUUUUUAUAUCAUAUUUAUAUACCACUUUAAGUGGCAUCUGAUGUAAACAACCACAUCAUUUGAAAAAUUUGCAAAACCCAAGGAAAGGAAAGAGAAAGACUCUUUGUAUACCAUAAUCGUCAUUUAAUUAACUAAUUUUUCUUAAUUAUUAGUUUAUUAAAUAAUGAACUAAAUUUAAAAAUCUGAUUAAUUCAAAUUAUGUGUCAGUUCACAUCACAUCAAAUGCCACCGAAAAUGGUAUGAAAAUGUUGUAUAAAAAUAUGGUAUGAAUAACAUUACUCUUAUUUCCACCAUUCUUAUCAACUGGAUGGGGAUAGAUUGUCUUUAUCUCACAAACCCAUAAUGUGGCAAUCGUCCAUUAGAAAGGUAAUGUACGUUUUGAAAAUCGUGGUAAAUAUUGAAUGAGUAAUGACGCCUCUAAAAAUAAAAUUUAGUUAUUUGAAAGAAUCUUUCAUAAAAUAAAGUAACGAAUAAUCAACAAAAGUAGCAGUACACCAAGUUGAAUCCUUUUCAACGUUGAAAUGAAAUAUGAAAGUAGAUCAAGUUUAUAUUAUUCAUCUACUUUUUAUUUUAUUUUAAUAAACGAUAUUAUCUACACUAAAGAGAUAGAGUUGGUUAAGCCUCACAAUGGACUAGCAAUAAUAUGGUUCAAAUUCACAUUUGACGAGAAUCAAACCAAGUGAAGAGAAAUAUCAUUAGACCGUAACAUUAUUCAUCAACUUUUAAAUUCAUCCACUUUUAAAUAAUAAACAAUCAAGAAAAACAUUGCACGCGGUCCCCUCUCGUCACUUACCACUAGUGCCAUCACUUACCUGAGCAAAAGAGAUAUUUCUAAUUGCUUGACCCAAACAAGCAUUGAGUUCAUCCAUCAAUAACAGGUCCACAUCUCAACCCAAAUAUAAUAACGUCAAAGGAGAGGGGAAAAUGAGAAGGAAACUCUGGAGGGUAGAGGGAAGGAAAAGGAGAAAAGGACAAAGGAGAAAAGGACAAAGGGAGAAGGGAAAAGUAGAAAGGGAAGGAGGACCACAGUAGAAAAUAUCGAUAAUAUCGGUGAAAUAUCGCCGAUAUUAUCGUUUUUUUGGGACCCCGAUAUUUUAGUAACUAUCCAACUUGUUUUCGGCAGAAUAUCGCGAUAUUAUCGAUAAUAUCGAUAAUAUCGCGAUAUUUUCGAAACUAUCGCGAUAUUUGGUAUGGACUCAUCGGAGAACACGGCCGGAGCAAAUAAUCCGAAACCCUAAAUCCCCAAAUGCUAAAUCAAAGCAAAUGAACUGAAUCUACAAUACAGGAUUCCGAGAAGAACGAUUUCAGUACAAAAUUCAACAUGUUUACAAGCCGAGAAGAACGAUUUCAGUACAAAAUUCAAAGCAAAUGAACCGAUUCCCUAAAUCCCCAAAUUCGGAUUCAAAGCAACUGAACUAAAUCCCUAAUUCCUAAAUCCCUAAAAUCUAUUUCAGUACAAAAAUCAAGCAACAUGCAGAUAAAUCGCAAUCUGUACAAAAAUAGAAACCCUAAUUCCUAAAUCCCUAAAAUCAAUUUCAGUACAACAAAGGUGCAACAUGCAGAAAAAUUGAAAUCUGUACAAAAAUUUAAAGUAAUAGAGGGGAAGAAGAGAAGUAGGAGCCUGGAACAUCGUCUUCCUCACGAAUCCAAGACGGCUGGGACAAGUUCGUGCUCCUCAGUGGUGUCGACGGCUUGGACUACGGAGACAGAGGGAGACACGGAGACACGGACGGUUAUGGAGUGGUGUCGACGGCUGGGUUUAGGGCGGGUGAGAUAGGAGGAGCAGAGGGAGACAGGGAGACACGGAGACACGGACGAGGAGGAUCGAGAUUUGAGAGAUGAUGUCUCUGUGUGUGUGUGGAAGAACUGGAGAAGGGGGAAGGGAGGGAGAAGACUGAGAACUUCUCGGUGAGAACGAAGGCUCAGACCGACCUCAGAGAGAAAAGAGAGAAGAGAGAGACUGAGAGGAUUCGAGAAUAUGGUAGUGGAGUGGGAAAUGAAAGAUCGAGAGAGAGACCUCCGUGUGUGGUGUACGUGUGUGGUGUGCGUGUGUGGUGUGGUGGGGGGGUCUCGAAGUGUGUGUGUGGUGGAGUGUGAGUUCUUCAGUCUUUUUGACUGUCUGAGUGAUGGUGUCUAAGAAAAAAAAAGCAUCCAAUGCUCCAAAUUAUUCAAAACCAAAUCAUUCCAAACCUAUGUCUACCUCUCUGAUCCAAUGAUCCAAAGAACUUUUUUGCAAUUUCAGAACAUGCACAACAAAUACUACUGCUUUAAUAAUGAAAGCGUGUGACAGUCUUUCACAUGCAAAACAGUGUCAAUGUCUGUUAUAUACUUACAUUCUUUCAUCAUCAGAGGCAUUCACCGAAUUUUAACUUACAUUCUUCUUCCCAUACCAUUUUCAAAACCAUUCCAGAUCCUUUCCAAAGCCAAGCAACACAAAGGCUUCCAUAUUUAAGGUAAGUUUACAAACUUAAAUUUAUAUUAUUGUAAUUUAUAUACAAAAACAAAUAAAUUUGUGUGCACUCGUAUGUUAAUUUUUUUAAGUAAUUACUUGCAUGUUAAUUAUGUUAAUUUUUGUAAGUAAUUAAGUAAUGUUAAUAUUAAUUGUUUUAAGUAAUUAAGUAAUGUUGUAUAAUUAUUCCCUAGGAUAAUUUUAAUAUGUUUAAUAUUAUUUAUUAUUUUAUUUCUCUUACCAUCUUCAUUAUCAAAUUGGAUUAUUAUUCAUUAAUAUUAGGUUUUUUUAUUAUCAAAUUGGAUUAUUAUUCUUUAAUAUUAGAUUUUUUUAUUAUCAAAUUGGAUUAUUAUUCUUUUAUAUUAGGUUUUUUUAUUAUCAAAUUGGAUUAUUAUUCUUUUAUAUUAGGAAUUUUUUUAUCAAAUUGGUGGAUUAUUCAUUAAAUUUGAUUAUUAUCAAAUUGGAUUAUUAUUCAUCACCAUGUUUUAUAUUAGGAUAAUUUUUUUAUCAAAUUGGUGGAUUAUUCAUUAAAUUGGAUUAUUAUCAAAUUUGGAAUAUUAUUCAUCACCAUGUUUUAUAUUAGGAUAAUUUUUUUAUCAAAUUGGAUUAUUUCAUUAAAUUGGAUUAUUAUCAAAUUGGAUUAUUAUUCAUCACCAUGUUUUAUAUUAGGAUAAUUUUUUUUAUCAAAUUGGUGGAUUAUUCAUUAAAUUGGAUUAUUAUCAAAUUGGAUUAUUAUUCAUCACCAUGUUUUAUAUUAGGAUAAUUUUUUUAUCAAAUUGGUGGAUUAUUCAUUAAAUUGGAUUAUUAUCAAAUUGGAUUAUUAUUUAUCAAAUUGGAUUAUUAUUCAUCACCAUGUUUUAAUUUAGGAUAAUUUUUUUAUCAAAUUGGUGGAUUAUUCAUUAAAUUGGAUUAUUAUCAAAUUGGAUUAUUAUUCAUCACCAUGUUUUAUAUUAGGAUUUUUUUUUAUCAAAUUGGAUUAUUAUUCAUUAAAUUGAAUUAUUAUCAAAUUGGAUUAUUAUUCAUUAAUAUUAGGUUUUAUUAUUCCAUAUUAUUUGUAUAAUUACUUAACUUUUUACAAUCAUUUUCUUUACUUUGUAUUUAAUUCUUCUGUAGAAUAACUUUAUUAUUUAGGUUCUCUUAUUUUUAUCAAAAAAUAAUUGUCUAAUUUUAAUGAAAAAUAAAUAUAGGUACAUUUAAUGUUAUAACCCUUACCCAAAAAAUAACCUAGUUUACUUUGGGCCAGGCUAAUCCCUUUGUGUUUUAAUGUAAGGCCCGAGUUUUUCUUUAAUUUUCUUAAGCCCAAGGUUUAUUCAACCCGUGAACCUCAUCUCCUUCCUCUCUCUUUUCUGAAAAGUCAUCUCUCUCUUUCUUUGUUUCUUCCCUCUCUCUCUCUAACUCUCACUCUCUAAAACCCGAGAGAAGAGAGCUCUCACCCUCCCACUUACCUUCACCACCAAGCCCUAUUUUCUACAUAUUCGGAGUCUGUGGGAUGCAAGGAUCACGAUGGUGGUCUUGCAUGUGAUAUCACUGCAGUGAGGACCUCGGCACCAUUAAAGUUGAGAGCUCCAUAGCUCUCAAAGCUUGAACCCAGGUGAACUAUGCCUUCUUCUCUAAAUUUCUGGGUUUAUGAAUGAUAUUUUAAUCUAUGUGAUUAUUAAGUUUAUCCCGUUAUUUCAAGAUUAAGGACGAAACCAUCGUGGGGGAAAGCUCACCCAAACUUUCCGGCGAACCCGUGACUCUCGAGGGAUUUUCCGAGCACACCGGGCCGUGUCACGGUGAAGCAAGGGUACAUUAAUACUCCUCUCUCUCCCCACUUCAUUUUGUUAUGUAGUUUGGACCUUGAGAUGCUCGUUCGUCGUCGACCGGAGCUAUAAUAGCUCCGGUGUUCUUCCCCGGUCAGCUCGCAAGCCUUCAGGCCGUUUAGGACACCCACGGGCCUUAGGCCCAUAUUGGUUCAGCCCUUUUUGCGUAUGGGUGGGUGUAAAUGUGCGAAUGUAUGCUGUGUGUGUGUAUGCAUGUUCGUGCGUAUGUAUGUGCAGUGUGGGUUCGGUGUGUGUCUGUGCGUGUUUGUCCAUGUGAGUGUGUGCGUUUGGUAAGUGUGCAGGCCGUGCAUGUGUGGGUGUAUGUGUAGUGCAUAUGUGCAGUGUGUGAAUAUGUAUAUGUGUGUGUGUGUGCUGGUGCGUAAGUAUAUGUAUGUGUGUGUGUUUAUAUAUAUAUAUAUAUAUGCAUUUGUGGGUGCAGCGCAUGCUAAUGCAUGCUGUGUGUGUUUAUAUAUGUAUCUAUAUAUAUAUAUAUAUAUAUAUAUAUAUGCAAGAGUGUGUGUGUGCAGUGCAUGCUUUGCAUGUAUGUGUGUGUGGGUGAGUAUGGGUUGGGCUCAAGCCCAAACCACCUUUUGAUCCUUACCUAUCCAAAUCCAAGGUCCAUUUCCAUUUCCUAGAAUUAUAUUGUUGGGUAGUUUGAUUAACUGUACGUUCUUGUACUUAGGGACACUUAUCGCGACGUUUCUGUCUUCGCUAGUGGCGCAGCUUUUGACGGAGUAUCUGUGAGUGGACCACCUUCGAAAAUUGCAUGUUUUAUUGAUAGAAUUGCAUAAUUUAAUAGCAUGCCUUACAGAAUUAUUUGAUUUGAGGAUUGAUGAAAUUAUGCUACGAAGUUGUAUUUUAGAGAUGAAUUAUGUUUUGUGCGUACCUAGUGAACACUAUGCCGCCUGGGGCGAGGAUCUGGUGUUGGCAUUGAGGCCGGGAGAAAUAAUCCCUAGCGAAAGGCUGAGGGACACGGAGACAGGCAUUGGGCCGGGAGGGAGAUAUCUCUGGCUACGGGCACAGAGACUGAGGUGCAGGCAUUGGGCCGGGAGUAUUGUUAUUCAGUGCACUCACUAGCAGCACAACUUAUGUUAUGCUUCCUGAUACGAUUUCUGAUAUGAUUUCUGAUAUGAUUUUAUGAGAUUGAUUUGCAGAGAGAUAUAUGAAUUGUUUUUAUGGCAUGCUAGUGGUUUUGAGAAACCUAUCACUUAUUAUUUAGUAGUUUUCAUUAUCUUAACUGUGGGGGUUAGUAUGUUCAUAACUAUUUUUGUACUACGUAUGUAUAUAAACUUGGUCCACUCACCCUUGUUUUGCGCCCCCAUUCAGGACUUAGGAUGAAGGCACAUAACCCCGGCAACAAGGUACUUCCGCAGCGGCAUCUUCGAGUCCUCUCGGGGUAGGACCCACUCAUUUGUUCAUUCAAUCUUAUCUUAAUUCUUAUUAGUGACUAGGUUUAGUUAUAUGCUCUGAACACGUUCCUAAAUUGUUAAUUCAUUGUUUUUAAAUUCAUAACCUGUAUUUAUUUCUUAUUCUUAGCUUUUGUAUCAAUUAAUGGCUUUCGUCACCCCCGGGUGUCGGCCAGCACGUGUCGGUCCUGGUAUUCGGGGAAUAUCAGGGUCGGGGCGUGUCAUUUAAGAUGUCAAGUAAACGUGAUCCAGCUUGGGAACAUGGAGACCCAAUAGACGGAAACAAACAUGGCACAAUUUGCAAAUAUUGUGGUCGGGUAAUGAAGAGUGGCGGAGUGACACGACUGAAGUAUCAUCUUAGUGGAUUAGAUCCAUCAAAAAAUGUCCAACGAUGCGAUAAUGUCCCCCCAGAAGUGAAGGCAUUCAUCAGCACAUUAUUAAAAAAUAAAAAACAGCAGAAGGAAAAGAUGACACAAGGAAUGGAAAAUAUUCGAGCUGAGCUACGGGGAGAAGUCUAUGGCCAAGCGGUUGACAGUGAUGAUGAUGACGAUGAGGACGAAUGUGAUGAUGACAUGGGACCUGAAGAACGACGCAGUUUGAAACAAGCAUUACGUGCCUCCAAACAGUCAGCAUGGGAAAGAGAACACCUUCAUAAAAUUCCUAAUAGGGGACAAGGUUCCGGGACAAGUGGUGGUGCACAAAUGAGACGGGGAGGCAGUCUUAGAGAAUCACAACCAACACCACCAAUAGCCCCAAGUUUAUAUAAGUCAUCCAACGCACGUCAAAAGAGUGUUUGGAGUUAUUUCAAGGGAGGUAAUGUGAAGGAGGGAAUGGGGCGUCUAAUUAGCAAGUUCUUUAUCUAUGAAAAUGUCCCUGCUGCGAAGGCUUCAUCACAUCAUUUCAAAAAUAUGGUAGUGGGAUGUCAACAGGCCGGUGUUGGAGUACAACCUCCCACUCCCUAUGAGAUAAGAAACAAAUAUUUGGAUAUGGAGUAUAAAGACAUUGGCGAGUAUGUUAACAAGUUGAGGUCAAAGUGGGAAACUAAUGGUUGCACAAUCAUGUGUGACGGAUGGACCGGCCCCCGACCAGAUUAUCUAUCAUCAACUUCAUGGUAUAUUCCAAGGGCAAGACAAUUUUUUUGAAGUCUGUUGAUGCUUCAGACCAUAUAAAGAAUUACAAAUAUAUUUACAAAUUAUUGAGGGAUGUAAUCAUGGAGGUGGGAGAGCAUAAUGUUGUCCAAGUCGUGACCGACAACGGUUCUGCAUUUGUCAAAGCUGGAAAAAAGUUAAUGAAGCAUCAUAAUGUGUUUUGGACAUCAUGUGCAACACAUUGUAUUGAUCUUAUGUUUGAGGCAAUGGGGAAGAGAGAGAAUGUUGCUACUGUGGUCAAAAGAGCUAGAACGAUCACUAAUUUAUAUUUACAAUCACGGUUGGUUGUUGGCAAAGAUGCGUGAAUUUUGCAGAGGAGAAAUUAUUCGUCCAGCUACCACUCGAUUCGCCACCAACUAUAUUGCAUUAAACAGCCUACUCAAGAAGAAAGCAGGGUUGAAGCAACUAUUCACCAGUGAUGAUUAGGCCAACCACAAUUUUAGCCGCUCAAAUACAGGUCGUUUGGUGGAAAGUAUAGUGCUUGAUCAUGCUUUUUGGAGUCAAACAGAACAUGUGUGUCAAGUGUUUGAACCUCUUUACAAAGUUUUACGGAUCGUUGACACAGAAGUGUAUCCCUACUAUGGGGGCUGUAUAUGAGUUGAUGCGUGUAGUGAAGGAUGAAUUGGAAAGAAAACAUGGUGCAAGGUGGGUCGUAAAAAUAAUUGAAGACCGAUGGUAUAAAACAUUAUACCACGAUUUGCAUGCAGCAGGUAUAAAUUAUGUCAUAAUUUGCAAUUCAUUUCUUUAGUUGCAUAAAUAUUAUUUAUCUUAUUAGAGUAUGUGUUUCUUUGAAACAGCAUAUUAUUUGAAUCCCCGAUACCAAUACAGACCCGGUGUUGGAGAUGAUGGUACCCUUAUACGUGCUGUACAUAAUGUAUACUCUAAAUUAGACCCUGCAUCACCAGCAGUUGGCCAAUUUGGAAAUGAGGUACACAAUUACUUAAAUUAUAAUAAUUACUUUGUUGGAUUAAACUAACACAAUUUAUUGUAUUCAGCUAACAUGGUUUAAAGAUGCAAGAAGAACAUUUGGAGAACCAACAUCAGUUGCUGCUCGAACAAAUAUGUCUCCUAGUGAGUAUAAACAUAUUUCACUAUAAGUUUUAUAAUAGAAUUUUUGUUGGAGUUAUUAGGCUUAUCAACAUUAUUUUUCAUUGUAGCUGAAUGGUGGAUCAUGUAUGGGACCGAUGCACCAACUGUGAGAAAGUUAGCAAUAAAAGUAUUAUCACAAACAGCUUCCUCAUCAGCUUGUGAAAGAAAUUGGAGCACAUUUGCACUCAUCCAUACAAAGCAAAGAAAUAAGUUGGCUCAUAGUAGCUUGGAAAAAUUAGUUUAUUGCUACUACAACAUGAAGCUUCAAAUUCGAGAUAAGGAAGCAAGAAUCGAUCAUGUCGACCGUGGUGACCCACUAGAUGUGUUUGAUAUUGUUGGUGAAGAUGAUGAUAUGGAGGGUAACCAACUUUUUCAAUGGAUUAGACCUCUUCAUUUAGAUGAUGAUGAAGGCAACCCAGCUCCCAGAGUUGCUGAAGAAGCACGUAAUGAAGGGAUAAAUGUAGAAAGAGUAUUAGAGGAGGAGGUGGGAUCUAGCAGCGCUGACUCUUUCGAAGAACUUUUGCACCCAAUGCCAAGCAACACUGGAAUUCCACCUUUUUCUAAUCCUACACAACCACAACAUCGUGCUGAUACUAAUGAUAGCUCUAGUACAAGAUCAGGAGACUCACCUACCACCGGAGGUGGGAAUGAUGAAGGAAAUAGUGGAGCUGGAGGUAGUGGAGCUGGAGGUAGUGGUGGUGGAUAUGGAAACUAUUAUGGACCACCACCUCCCGGAUAUAUGAGCCCCUUCACUGGUGAGGCAAACUUCACGCAUGCAACACAAGAUGAUGACCAUGGCAGUAGGCGGGCAAGACCAGGAAUUGGUGCCAUAGGGAAGGACUAUACUCGCAGAGAAAGAGGCAAAGGGAUUUUGUCAAGUCAAGAAGAUGACUCGUUAUCUAGAACUUCAGACUCUUUUGGAUUGGGAAGUAGUAACUAUGGUUAUACUCAUAACCAACCAUUUCCCUACCCUUCAUAUCCCAUUCCUGUUGGGAUGGAAUCGAGCGACUCAUGGAAUCAAUCCCAGCCUCAAUCUUCAAAUGAUUUUUCUUAUGGACAACCUCAACCAAUCUCGGAUCCAUAUGGGUGGCAUAUUAACAAUUACAUGCAAAACUAUUUUGGGGAUUUAUCAUUUGAUAACUACUCUUCACAAUACACUCAUUCUACACAUAGAGAUGAUGAAGAUAGUGACAAAUUUGAACCUCAUAGGAACUCUAUGUGGUACUAAAGUGUAAAAUAUUGUACUAAUUCAUUAUAUAUAAAUGAUUAUGGUGUGUUUAGACUUCUUUCAUUAAUUACUACAUAUUUUCUACACUCAUAAUGUUUGUCAGAUCGCUAUAUAAUCAACUUGAUAAUGUUAAAUCCAUCAUGCAAUGCAUUUCCUUCCAAUUUUUUGUGAUAAACUAAUAGAUAAUUGACUAAAUAAACAUCCUACAAAGUUUCAAUACAAAUUUCCAAGUUUUUCUUACAAUUUCCGUGGUUUCCAUGUAAUUUUUAUCGAUAUCGAUAUUUUACCGAUAUUUCCAUCGAUAUUUCCGUGUUUUCGGACUACCGAUAUUUCCGAUAUCACCGAUAUUUUCUUCCUUGAGGAGGACAAUGAGAGGAAAUUUCGGAGAAUAGAGAAAAGGAGAAGGGAAAAGUAGAAAAGGAGAAGAGAAGGGAUAAGGGGAAGGAAGCUUAGGAGGGUAGGCAGACGAAAAGAGGGAAAUGCAUAAAAAUAAAAAAUAAAAAAGGAAAGUUGACUUCAUCAUUAUGUCUCCUAGCGGAAAGGAGCAAUCACAUUGUAAAUUAUAUUUCGUAUAAUGAGAAAUUAGUAUUCCUACUCGAGGAUAUAGACACAACUUGUCGAAUCUCGUUACUAUACAGCAAGUCUAUAAUUGCACAACAAUUUGAUUAACCACCUUAAGUUCAUCCAUAUGUACUAAGAUUCAAGUUUUUCCAAACUUUCCUUAUGAAACUAACUGAACAUUACAAGUGCCUCAUUAUUAUGCGGUUCGAUCAAGUUUUAAUUUUUGUCUCAUAACCACAUUAUCUUUAGGACAAUAAUCUUGUGGUUGAAUAUAAAAACCUUCGACAUGGUGAUCAAUGGCGGAGCCAAGUUAAGGGCUGCCCUGGGCUGCAGCCUAGGUAGCUUGUGGUGAAAAAUAAAAUUUUACAUGUAAAUUAGAUUGAUUUUCGAAUGUAGUCCACCAAAUAUUUAGUCGCUAAUUCAAAUUCUCUAGGUUUAACUAUAUAAAAUUAUAUAAUACACUUUGCAAACCAUCUCUUUUUCUUACAUUAUUUUUCUCAUCGCUUCUUGUACAUGUACAAAUUUGGAUUUGUUUAAUUUUAACACGUUUUUGGCUCACCUUGUGAAUUUUUUUAAGCUAACUGAUACUAUAAGAAAUAGGGUAUCAAGUUUCUUUAUUUAAAAAGAUUUAAAAUUUUAAACUAGCCCACCCGGUAAAACAUUCCUAACUCCGCUAUUGAUGGUGAUAUUGGAAACACUAGUUGGUGGGUUGAUUGGUAGAAAUGGUUCCAACAAUUUAAAGAUGAGAAAUGAGUAUUGAGCAAUGAUCAAAAUGUGUUGUACUUUAUCAGAAAAGAUCUUUGUGCAAUCAAAAGUGCAUUUUAUCACAAAAAGGUAACAACGAUCAAUAUAAUUGUUAUUUAUAAAAUCACACAUAAAAUAAGAAGUAAUCUUUUCUUUUUCUUUUCAUCUCUGCCACUAUGGGCCGACCAUGACUUAAAGAAACGCUUUUUGGGUCAAUGGAUGGGAACGACCCAUUUUAUAAUAUUGUUUGUAAAUUUUUCUGGAAGUAGAUGGAAAUGACCGAAGUACAUAUUUCCCCUGCUCACAGACAUUUGCAUUGCACCUAGCAAACACCAGUUUUUUUGUUUGAACAUCGAUCCACAUCAACGUUUAAUUCAAGAUAAAGAAAGGUAAUCGCAACACGACGGCGGCGACGUGGCGGUCAUUUAACGGAAAAUAACAGACAAAUCAGCCUCCAGAUCAAGUCUUGAAGCACAACUCUGAAAAAUCGAGACUACCUACAUCUGAGCUCCGACCAACCGCUGAUGGAGGCAAUCAGGAAGCUCAGAGAUCAGGUCGCCAAGCAACAGCAGGUACUCUCUCUCUCUUGUUUGAUUCCGAAUUUGUAUUUCUCAAUGGAAUUUUAUAUGAACAUAAUCUGCGUUGAUUGCGAGAUACUGAGAUUGCUUAAUGAAAUAAUAUUUAUAUAAUUGUUCGAGUUGAAUUGGAUCGAUUCGAAUUCGAAUAGAAUUUCACUAUUUCUGAGCUGUGUUGGAGUGCAGUGUUGCCGAAUUUCUGAAAUUUUGAGCUAGGUGUUGCUAAUUACUUAUCCAUUUUUGGAUUUAAUUGGAUGCUUAAUUUUUACAUUUUCGGAAAACUUCAAGCAAAAAUGGUAUAUGAUUUUUAUCAUAAAAAGAGUUAGUCGAAGCUUUAUCGAGUUUGCUUUUGAUUAUUUUAUCAUAAAAAGAUGAGCAACGAUCUAUAUAAUUUUUCUGGAAGUUGAUGGAAAUGACCCAAUUACAUAUUUCCCCUCCUCACAGACAUUUGCAUUGCACCUAGCAAACACCAGUUUUUUUGUUUGAACAUCGAUCCACAUCAAUGGCUCUUGUGAGAACAUCUCCAGGAACCUCCUCUGAUUCCAACACUUUUCGGAGUUCUCGCUACGACGUGUUCUUGAGCUUCAGAGGGGAAGAAACUCGCAAGACUUUUACCGACCACCUCUACACAGCCUUGAACAACGCAGGAUUUCUUACGUUCCGAGACGACGAUGAACUUGAGAGAGGAGAAGAUAUAAAGCCAGGACUGCAGAAAGCGAUCCAGCAGUCACGAACUUCUGUUGUCGUGUUUUCGAAAGAUUACGCGUCAUCCAGUUGGUGUCUUGAUGAGCUUGUGCUGAUCCUUGAACGCAAGAGGACCACCUCGGACCAUGUAGUUUUACCAGUCUUCUACGAUGUCGAUCCGUCCCACGUGAGGAAGCAGACAGGAAGUGUUGGAAAAGCAUUUGCUAGAAGCCAGAAAAAUCAGUCGCCGGAAAAGGUGCAGGGAUGGAGGAAGGCACUUGCAGAGAUUGCAGACCUAGCAGGCAUGGUCUUACAAAAUCAAGCUGAUGGGUAACUUUCAUUAUCUCCAUUUCUCAUCUCUUUCCUGGGUGAAUUUGAUGUAUGAUCCGUAGUGACCUAGAUUUUUAUAUGUUUAUUAAUUCAAUCUCAGUAGUGAAUAAUAAUCUCAAUUUAGGUCAACUUAAAGAAAUCACACUCAACUCAACUUAAGGAUUAGUCAUUUUCCAUGUUAAUCUACUGGUUUCAGUUGCUUAAAUUUUUUUGAAAGCUGGUGUGGAAAAAAGUUAGGAUGUGAUAUGUCAUGUAUUUGUCUAUAGUUCGUAUAAAUUAUGCGCACUAUUCCUUUCUUUUUUUUCAAUUUAAUUUUGUCAGCAGUCCUUUUUUUUUUCUUAUUUAAAUAAAGGCAAUCAACAUAUGUUUGAAGGGAAUUUUAACGAAAAACCACAUUUUUACACUAAAAAGUCAAUCCUGAUACUAUUCACUUUACCCUUUAUUUUGUAAUUAUCUAAUUUUCCCAAUUCAUUUUUUGUUUUGUUUGCAAAUUCUUAGGUACGAGUCAACGUUUAUCAAAAACAUUAUUAAAGUGAUAGGAGACAAGUUAAGUCGCACGCCAUUGAGUGUUGAACCAAAAUUGAUUGGAAUUCAAUCUCAAGCCGAACACAUCAAUUUGUGGUUCCAAGAUGGAUCAAGUGAUGUUGGUAUAUUUGUUGUGUAUGGCAUGUCUGGAAUCGGGAAGACAACCAUUGCAAAACAUGUUUACAAUUCAAACUUUGGAAGCUUUCAAGGAAGUAGUUUCAUUGAAAAUAUCAAGGAAACAGCAGAUCGACCAAAUGGCUUAGUUCAAAUACAAAUGCAACUUCUUUGUGAUAUUUUGAACGGCAGAGAAGUGAAAAUACACAGUGUUAGUGAGGGAAUAAUUAAGAUUGAAAGGGCCAUAAGCUCUAAAAGAGUUCUACUUGUUCUUGAUGAUGUUGACCAUAUGGACCAAUUAGAUGCAAUCCUAACGAUGAAAGAUCAGUUUUAUCCUGGAAGUAAGAUACUAAUAACAACUAGGUGUGAAAGGUUGUUAAAGGCAGAUCAAGUUACCGAGGUGCACAGAGUUCAAACUUUGGAUGACAAUGAAUCAUUAAAGCUUUUCAGUUGGCAUGCUUUUGGCCAGGACCAUCCCAUAGAAGAAUACAUGGAGCACUCAAAACAGCUAGUGCAACAUAGCGGCGGACUUCCAUUAGCUCUAAAAGUUUUGGGUUCUUCUUUAUCAGGAGGACGUAUAGGUGUAUGGGAAAGUGCAUUGGAGAAGCUAAAAGUUAUUCCUGAUGGUGAAAUCAUGAGUAAACUAAGAAUAAGCUAUGAAAGUUUAAAAGAUGACCAUGACCGGAAAUUAUUCCUCCACAUUGCUUGUUUCCUAAUAGGAAGGAACAAAAGUUACAUUGUUAGAAUAUUCGAUGGAUGUGAUUUCUAUACAAUCAUUGGCAUUCAAAAUCUCAUUGAUAGAUGCUUGGUGACACUUGAUGAAUACGGCAAGGUGAACAUGCAUGACUUGAUUCGUGCUAUGGGAAGAGAAAUUGUUCGCCAAGAAUCAGAAGAGCCUGAGAAACGUAGUAGAUUAUGGCGCCAUAAGGAUUCUUUCCAAGUAUUGAGGAAAAAGAAUGUAAGAAACAUGUCUUUUAUGUCUAUAUAUGUAUUUCUUCUUGUGAAAAUUACGCAUAUUAAUGUCUCUAUUGUUUCCUUUAGGGUACAAAAAAAAUCCAAGGUCUUUUCCUGGAUAUGCGUAACCAUCCUGCAAACAAUCCAAUAAACACAAAUGAGAUAGUCUUGGAAACCAAUGCAUUUGCAAGGAUGCGCAAUUUACAACUACUCCAUCUUAGUCAUGUACGAUUGGAUGGAUGUUAUGUAGAUUUCCCUACAGGAUUAAGAUGGUUGUGUUGGCUUGAAUUUCCUUUGGAUUCUAUACCAAUUGAUUUUCCUUUGGAGAACGUAAUUGUUCUUGAAAUGCAAUACAGUAGCUUGAGACAAGUAUGCAAAGGAACAAAAGUAUGUUACUCUAUGCAUUUCAAUUCAUUUUCCUUAUUUUGUUAGUUUUUUAUUUGUGGACUAACUCCAUGUGUUAAAAUGAACUAUUAUGUUUUCUUUAAUUCGAUAACUAAUUUCUUAUGUUAGACACUUAUUUCAUUGUUCUUUUUUUUUCUUUUUUCUUUUUCCUUUGUUUCCACAGUUUCUUCCAUCGUUGAAGAUCCUUGACGUCAGCCAUUCUCAUGGCCUUAGUGAAACCAUUGACUUCUCACUUUCCCCCAAUCUAGAGGAACUGAUUCUUGUAGAUUGCACAAGCCUGAAGAAUGUUCAUGAAUCCAUUGGAAACCUGGAGAGACUCGUGUACUUGAAUUUGAAGGAUUGCAAGAAUCUUAGGAUGCUUCCGAAGAACAUGUGCAUGCUUAAAUCACUUGAAACACUCAUUUUAUCUGGUUGCUUAAAUCUUGAUGAGUUUCCAGUGGAGAUGAUGAAGAAGUUGGAGUCUCUGAAAGUUCUUGAGACGGAUGGAAUUCCAAUAGGUGAAUUGUGGCCAAAAAGAAGUUCAACUAUCUUGAGUUCUUUUCCGUGCUCUUUGGUAGAGUUAAGUCUGAAGGGGUGCAAUCUUUCUGAUGAUGUCUUUUCUACGGAUUUAAGUGCUCUAUCCUACUUGCGAAGACUACAUUUGGAUGCGAAUCCAAUUUGCAGUCUGCCAGUUUUCAUCAAAGGUUUGAGGAGGAUCGAUGAACUCUCUUUCAAGGGUUGUGAUAGGCUCGAAUCGUUUGUGGGGUUGCCGGAAGUACACCAAAGGCUAAGUAUAAAAGAAUGCAUAUCAUUAAAAAAAAUAACUUUUCAUUCCCCUGGGCAACAUUAUCUAACACGUGUAUUUUGCAAUGAGAACCGGAAUCUUGUUGAGUGUGAGUGCUAUUACAAGUUAGAGCCUAUUGAUAGAGUUGAUGUGGAAAUGAUCAAACUUUUGGGCUUGUGCAACUUGGAAUCCAUGCCAGCUGUUCGAAUGCGUCAUCCACUCACAAACAGGGAUCCAAAAGAGGUCCCCGUCCAGGUGCGCCUCUCUUUCUCUCUCUCUCGUAAGUCUUAAAUAUAUAAUGGGAAAGAAAUGACUGAGUAAUGUUGUGAUGACUGUGGCAAAUACAUAGGGACUGUAUCAACAUGGUAUAUUCAGCACCUUUUUUGUUGGGAAUGAGGUUCCAGG
rnacentral:lncRNA from 1 species